rnacentral:lncRNA from 1 species
GGAAGGGGGGCAAGGGAACCCGAACCCGAGAACGAACGAUGGAACAAGGAAACGACGCUGUUUGCGACUCUGUAAAUGACAGGAUACCACCACCCUAUUCGUCAACAGUCCGCCUGGAGCAUCCCAUAAUUCCAUGGUGCUCCAGCCUGUUGGUAGUAUCACCACCACCAUCAUUGUUUGAUAGAUAGCAAUAAUUUGCUGCUGCUGCUGCUGCUGUUGGUUGUUGUUGUCGUCUUCGUCGUCGGCGUGUGCGCGUUAGGGCCAAGUCCUAGCUUCGUGGUGAUUAAUUUAGAGGUGGUCAAGAUUCAACAUAUUUAUGUUUCUUUAUUACCUUCCCGCUGGGACUUGGCAAACUUUUUUCUGAGACUUUGUUGUAUUUUCUCUUCCCGUUUGUUGCUACCUCUGGAUCUGCUUGUUCAGCAACAGAAAGUUGAUGAAAGUAACUUCCAGUAUGAAAAUUCCAGUCUCCUUGAUUAUAGAUAUUCUUGCAUUGCAGCAUCGUGACGUAUAUGGAUUGUGAUUGUAUAAGAUUUUUAAAAAACUCUGAUUGUACAAGAAAUGGCCAUUUUUGGAAGAGAAAUUAUGUAAAUUUCAUAAAAAAUGCUCAAUUCCUGCCGCUGUUACCAGUAAAACAGAAAUGAUUUUUUUGGCCGUUAGAACAGAAGAAUAAUGAUUUUUUACCAUUAAAUAAAACACUUGCAUCGCUCAAAAAUAUUUAUACAGCUAAAUACUCCCCCCGUUCCAAAUUACUCGUCGCAAAAAUGGAUGUAUCUAGAACUAAAAUACAUUUAGAUACAUUCGUACCUGCGAUAAGUAAUUUGAAACGGAGGGGGAACGGAGGGAGAACGUUCUAAAAACUUUGACAUGAAAAUUACAUUUUAAAAGUUGAUUCCUUGUUCGCAAGAAAGUCCACGGAAGUAAAGUAACACGGUUCCUGUUUCCACGCCAGUCACUGGCAGGUGGGACCGGCGUGUCAGCCAUCCCCGUCGUUUUCACUUUACCCCCAAAACGAAGUAAAAAUCACGCCCGACCUCCAGCGCUCGAGGAGGAUUGACGGAGUGACGACUCUCUGACUAACCCUAGCCUAGCCGCCUAGGGAGCGAGCGGGGAGGCGGCCGGAGCCGGAGCCGGAGAUGGAGGUGGUGGCGCUGGUGAGCGGCGGCAAGGACAGCUGCUUCUCCAUGAUGCGGUGCCUCGACUACGGCCACAAGGCAGACCCCGACCCCCCGUCCAGUAAUCUCGUCGGCGUUUCCGUCCUUGCUAAACCUCGGCGCUAAUCUGCCCGCAGGUCGUCGCCCUGGCCAACCUCAUCCCGCUCGACGACGCCGUCGACGAGCUCGACAGCUACAUGUACCAGACCGUACGGCCCGCCCUCCCCGCUCCCACGCCACAUUUUUCUUCCGCUAUGCGCCGUGUAAUUUAUUUGCUGAUUGCUGUGUGGCUGUGGCGUUUGGGGAUCUAGGUCGGGCACCAGAUCGUGAUCUGCUACGCCAAAUGCAUGGGGCUGCCCCUGUUCCGCCGCCGCAUCAGCGGAUCCACAAGGCAAUAUAUCUGUCUGUCCUCAGCUUUUGUUCCCCUCCGAAUGUUAUAGGCUGUGCCUGCUCUUUUCACCGAUGAAUUCCGGCUAUUGUUGUGUGCAGGGAUCAUGCUCUUAAAUACAGCGUUACCGCGGGAGACGAGGUGGAGGACAUGUUUGCCCUGCUGAGCGAGGUGAAGCGGCGAAUUCCGUCCAUUGGCGCCGUGUCUUCGGGCGCCAUCGCCUCCGAUUACCAGAGGCUCCGGGUCGAGAGCGUCUGCUCGAGGUUGGGCCUGGUCUCGCUCGCCUACAUGUGGAGGCAGGAUCAGACUCUGCUUCUUGAAGAAAUGGUAAAAUUGAACUUCAGUUUGUCUUUUAUCUUUGGCAGAUUGUCUGGCUUGGCAGAAACUGCACACUAAUGUUGUCAGCUUUUGUUUUGGUCUUAAUCCCUGCAGAUAAGAAGGGGCAUUGUGGCUAUAACUGUCAAGGUAUACAGUGUACUCAUGUUUAUGUUUUGUAGAUUUUCUCUAAUUUACUUGCGUCAUUGCACUUUAUCUCUUUGGAAUAUAAGUGGUUGGUCCGUUGGGAUUUAUAGGUUGCUGCAAUGGGGCUGAAACCUUCUGCCCACUUGGGUAAAGAACUGGCUGAACUUAAGGGCCAUCUGCUCCAAAUGAAUGAGUAUGUUUCUAACUCCCUUCUGUCUAGACCUUUUGCUCUUUGGAAAUAGUGGCCUCUUGUCCCUUAUGAAAGGUUUGCGUUUGAAUGAGUGAAGGCAUUAACUUCAUGUGUAGGGAUAUUAAUUAGUGGGUCUGGUUUCUAUAUAUACACGGCAAUUGCAGUGUUUGGAGAGGAAUGCUAGUUUUUGCGUCUUAUUGUUCUCGAAAAGUAGCUGGCUAGUACUCCCUCCGUUACAAAUAUAAGAUGUUUUGGAUAUUUGAAUAUGGACUACAUACAGACUGAAAUGAGUGAACAAACACACUAAAACGUGUCUAUAGACAUCUGGUUCACAAAAAAGAUAGAACAUCUUAUAUUUGUGAACGAAGUGAGUAAAACUCAGUUUGUGUUGCUCUUGGUUGUAUGAUGGAUUGACUGUGAACAGUACUUCCACCAUUAGGUCUUAUAUUUGGUGUGCAUUUACUGAUUGUUGGUGAGCUGGCUACUAAUGUCCUGUUGGUUCCUGGAAGCAAAAUCUGUUUUGUUUCUCAGGAAUAGAAAUGGGAGUCUUCUGUAAUGAAAAAAAUGUGCCACAGUUUGUCCCUCUCUGCGUGUCUUAUUCUCAUUGAUCUCUGUGUAAAUGCUGGUCUUUUGCUCGCAUAUAUUUUCAUCUUGUAAUUUAUCUUCUUUGUUUAUCCUAUUAGGAGUUUUGGAAUCAAUGUCUGUGGUGAAGGUGGAGAGUACGAAACACUAACUCUUGACUGCCCUCUAUUUCGUGUAAGUUUGAAGAGCUGACUAAAUGCCACUUGUUUUAGAAUGUUAGGUAGACUGUAACCAUCACCAUGUUCCAUGCCGUGUUGGCACUGUCUAUUCUAACAUGUCAUCAGAUGGCUGUUGAGCAUAGUAAUGUUUUUUCUACCAGCAACCAAUAACUGUUGAGUUUUCUGUACUAUAAUAUGCCUACGUUUGCAGAAUGCAAGGAUUGUCCUUGAUGAUUUUGAAGUGAUACUCCACUCUGCUGAUUCCAUUGCUUCAGUUGGAAUUCUUCAUCCGCUGGCAUUUCAUGUUGAGCCCAAGCCAGGUUCAUCUAGCAGCAUUGGGGAUGGCGCCAUUGCUGAAGAGAAUUCUAGUUGCUUGUAUGAAGUAAAUGGAGCUAUUGCACACACUGAUGCGGAAAACAAACAGACCUUGAAUCCAACACCAACCUCUGAUGCUUACCCAGAUACAAAUGUAUGCAUUUCAAAGACAGGGAGGACUUUGUUUUCCAUUGGUUGUUGGAUAGAAGAACCCUCUAGUGCUUCCCAAGGUGGAUACCCCUGUGCUACUUAUUUCCAUGUUAUUGAACUAUUCAUAAUUCUCUGCCUGGUAGGAGUACCUUAUGUUCUCUUUUUUUGCGGGGUACCUUAUGUUCUAUUUCAUCUUGCUUUGUUGGACACUCACUUACAAUUCCAUUACGUCAAUAGGCAUGAAGGCAGAUCUAGUCAAAGUUUUGAGCAGAAUCGAGAAUCGGCUCAAGGACGGAGGGUUAAGUUGGGCAAAUGUUGUAUAUGUUCACCUCUACAUUUCAAGCAUGAAGGAAUUUGGAUUGGCCAAUGAAGUUUAUGUCAGCUUCAUCACAGAAAAGAAAUGUCACCUUGGUGUUCCUUCGCGCAGUACAAUUGAAUUACCACUUGUUCAGGCUGGUUUGGGCCAUGCAUAUGUGGAGGUUCUAGUUGCAAGUGAUCUGGUCAAAAGAGUUCUGCACGUACAAAGCAUCUCAUGCUGGGCUCCUAGUUGCAUUGGACCUUAUAGCCAGGUAAAAGAACACUCCAUGGUAAUGCCAUGAAUUCAUACUAAAAGCUGUCUGCAGACUAGUUGCUGUCUGCAGAGCGCAGACUAGUUGCCGGUAUAUUCAGUUAGCACUGAGUGUUCGCAUAUGAUGACUCUGGGACAUGAAAUUUCUUUCUAAUGUCUUUCAGGCAACACUUUAUGGAGAGAUUCUCUAUAUGGCUGGUCAGCUCGGGCUUGACCCCCCUACAAUGAAGCUCUGUCCUGGAGGCGCAACAGCUCAACUGGAACUAGCACUGCGAAAUAGUGAAGCUGUGGCUAAUGCCUUCAAGAGCUCUAUCUUCUCUUCAGCAGUACACUUUCUGGUGUACUGCUCUGCCCACCUGACAUCCACUGAGAAGGAAGCAGUUGAACAAAAGCUGCAGAAUUCAUAUAUUGCUCAUUUGGAUUCCGCAAGAAGUGGAUCAUAUCCUACUAUUCUAUAUGUACUAGCACCGGAUCUUCCAAAAGGGUAAGCAUAUUUUUCUUCUAUCUUUUUUAUCAGCAAGAAAACCCGUGUCAUCUGGAUAAACAUAUUUGGUGAUGCCAUGCUGAACUUUAUAAGAAAUAUUUGUUCCAUUCUUUCAGAGCAUGUGUGGAGAUAAAACCAACGUUGUAUGUCCCCACUGAUGACUACGACGGCGAUGACGAUGAUGGAGAUAUUACCAAAGAGCUGGAGACCGGAGGGUCAAAGCCAUCAUCAAGCAAAGUCCCGAGUGAGUGGAGCGCACAAUACUCUGGCUUGCAUGACUCAUGCUGCCUGAUCAACGCGGUUGCUGGGAAGAUUUGCUCUGCUUUGGUUUCAGUCACGAAUGACAUCGCAUCAAAGAUCUGUUCCAGCACCGAACAACUACACCCCUCAAAGGAGCAUUUGAAAGCCAUAGCUAGGUUUUGUGCUUUCCAGCUCGCAAAGACCCUGACAGACACUGGCUUCACCUGGGACGACGUAACGGUAAGUCCCUGUCCUGUCGUUCCUUUUCAUGGCCGCACCGGUCCCGCCUCCUAAUCAGCAUUACUGAAUUCAUUUAUACCUGCAGAUGCUGAGGUUCUACUAUUUGGUGAAGCACGCGGCGGCAGCGGACACGAUGUCCCGUGCAUUCUCUGAGGCCUUCACCGAGCUCGGAGGAGCCGAUGGUUCAUUGAGAACCGCCGGGGCGCCCGUCUUCAACCUCAUCCCGGUCUCGGGGUCCGGCCGCUCCGCGUCGAUGGAUGAUGUUAUUACGUGCGAGCUACUAGCUUCCAAGGCUUAAGCCAAGAAGAACCUUGGCCUGCACUUGUUAGCUUCCAAAGCUUAAGUCAAGAACCUGGCCUGUAGUGCACUGUCUGCACAUGCAGCUUGGUGCCAGGUGGUUGCAUCUUCCGUUGAAACAUUGGAGGCAAGCAGUAGUAGGAUGGGAUUCUCUGCCAAGGGAGCCGGCGCUGCAGCAAGCUGGACAGCAGAUAAUCAGGUGCCUUGCUGUUGGCGGCAGCUUUCUCUCCGUGAAGUGAUUUUUGGGUUUUUAUUAUUGAUGAUGAUUAUAUCAAUAUGGUACUCCCUACUAUACUACCACAAAGUACAUCGUAUCUGGUUGGCCUGUGGCUGUAGCUUUGUAACGACAUUGGUUGGCUGGCUCAGUUAGUGGCAUGGGUGUUCGUCGUGUCAACCAAGCACGCACGGCUUAUUAUAUUCCCAAGAUAUAUUUUUAAAAGGAAAAUUGUUGCAAAAUCUGGAGCGCCUACCAUUCCAAGGCAAACCUCUUAUUUUAUUUUAUUUUGAAAGGGAGAAGGCAAACCUUUUGAUAUCAUCAUAAUAAAUAUAACAAGUAACAAGUAAUGUAUCCUCUGCCCAAAAAAUUAUAUAAUUAGGCCCAGCCAACGGAAAGGAAAUCUUCAGAUAGCGAUCGAAGCCUAUAGUUUAUGAAGAUGGUCAACAACGAUCCUAGCCGCAAAAAACAAAUCAUCAACCAGCCGAUACAGAUGCGACGAAUGCGCAAGAACAGUUAUUGAGUAUAAGAAUAAUAUAAAUACUCUCUCUGUUCCUAAAUACUCUGUAUUUGUCUUUUUAGAGAUUUCAAAUGGACUACCACAUACGGAUGUGUAUAGACAUAUUUUAGAGUGUAGAUUCACUCAUUUCACUUUGUAUGUACUAGUCACUUGUUGAAAUCUCUAGAAAGACAAAUAUUUAGGAACGGAUGAAGGAAGUAUAUAGCAAGAAUAAAUUGUGUUAGUAAUCAAUUUCCCCUCAAAGAAGAAAUAAAUACUACUCCCUCCGUUCAUUUUUAUAAGUCAUUUCAGAUAACUGAAAAAUAGGCUAUUUUGCACAUUGUCUGCAAUGUCUUUAAGGCCUUAUAAAAGUGAACAGAGGGAGUACAAGAAUUUUUAUAGACUGGACUUGACCAAUUCCAGCUGGAAACUUGUCGACACGCCUUGAUUAAUUAAAAAUAAUAAUUAAAAAUCAGCUUGAUUAAUUAAAAAUAAUAAUUAAAAAGCAGCUGUGCUUGACGUUGUAAUAAUGAUAAUAAUAUUAAUAAAGAAAAAGAAAAAAGGCACCCAGCAGCUGUGUGCCGUGCUUCUUGUCUCCCCUCUCUCGCUCGCUCCUCCUUCCUCUCUCUCUCUCCCCACUCCCGACCCGGCCAAAUUUAGCCGUUACACCACCUCUGACCUCUCUCCCUCUCGUCACACAGAUCGACCGAUCGAGGAGCAUCUCGAUCCUUAUCCGCCCGGCGAUCUUCAUCCGCCGUCCCGCCCCGCCCCGGCCAGCCGCAGGCGAUCGAUCGAUCCUCGGCCCCGCCCGCCGGUCGCCGGCGUCCCGGUCGAUCUGUUUGUCUGUCUGUCUGUCUCCGAUCUGGUCGAUUGUUAAGGGAGAUCAGGCAAGAUGAUGUUCUUGGCGUGCUGCUACAACGACCCGGACAUGCUCAUCGAUCCGGAGACCAUCUACCCCACCCGCCCCGACUGCACCGACGCCCCCAAGUCCCGCUUCAAGCCCAUGGCAAGCACGCACGCGAUCCCCCCUCUGCCUUUUUCCUCUGCAUAUAUCAUCUCUUCUCUGCAUUACGAAUUAUCAUCCCCGUCUGGACGCCUAUGUUCAGAUAGGUAGAAUCAGAGCAGAACACAAGCAUGAGGCUCUCUGCCGCUUAUAUAUGGAUCCCCUGUAUCCAUGUGCAAAUUCAGAGUCUCAUAGGCUGCCGCUUUUGAUGCAGAACUGGAGCCUCUCUUUUUUUUUCCUCCUUUGCUCAGAAGCUGAUUGCAUGCAGAGAUCAAUGACUGUAUUGUAUUGUAUAUUGUAUUGAUCGUCGAGCGCAUUGGUUUAUUGACUGAUUGUGCUGUUGUUGUUGUUUUUUGUCCUCUGGCAGCCUCGCCGCACGCUGAGUCCGAGGAGAUGGAAGCUGCUGUUCAACGAGGAGGGCUGCCUCGACGCCGCUGGAAUGAUCAUGAGAGUGCAGCGUGGGGUGAGCUACAUAUAUAUACAUCUUUCUUUAUCCAGAUUCAUCACAAGCAGCGCGAUGAGCUCAGUCGCAUAUUGUAUCGAUCUCACACCCCGGGCAGGACAGGGUAAAUGUUAUGUAUCAUGUUCAUGUGUAACAACACCCGCAGUCAAACUCGCAUUCAGGACUAGUUGACAGCUUGUAUUGCUCUUUGAAAAAGGGUCUGCACACUGCUACAUACAGUCAAUACUUAUUCGCGAGAAAUGAACUUAUAGGAAUUUGCACAGGGCAUGUUUUGUUAUUUUGGCUCCAUCAGUUUGUUUUGUUUCUUCAACUGAUACAAGAUUCAGUGGGAGGACUCUGAAUCAUGUUUGUUAGCACAGACCUUUCACACUGUACUGUUUUUCUACCCUUUCAGCCUUGCAAUUUUUCUUCUUAACAACCAUGCAUUUUCUUGUCAGUUGUUAGUAUCCCUUGGGGCAUAUAUACCACAUCUAAGCACAUAUUGUGACUCCUCAGUUUAACUGAACCAGGACCUUGUCUUUAUUUUGGUUAUGCCAACAGGGCGUCCACCCAAACAUCAAAGGAGAAGUUUGGGAGUAUUUGCUCGGUUGUUACGACCCUAAAAGCACUACCGAACAGAGGAAUCAAUUGCGACAACAGAGAAGGUUUUUUUUUAAUCUCAUCUGCAUCUUACUUUUGUCUGUUCAUUUCAUUCCAUUUUAAUGUCAUUAGAAGCAAUACAUAGUUUUUAUCAUCUUGCAAAGAUUCUCACCAGCCACCUUCCUUUUCUUGAUCCUUAUUUUUGCAAUAAUGGCUACUUCAAACACAUAGUAUCAUACAUUCAUACUUAUGAGUAAUUGAGAGUUUAAAUUGCUCAAAUAAAUAGUUUAGAGAUAUUGGGUUCUCUAGAAGAGCUGAAGCAGUCCACAAAAAGGGGAUACACAUUCAAUCCAUUGUAUCUAGAGGUUUCAUUUCAAUUUGCUGAAAAACUGGACUAAUGUAGUUCUGUCACAUGUUAUGCUGCACAUAGCAAUGCUAUUUUUUUGCUUCAGGAUGUUCACCAUGCUUUUCAGAAAGUUAUAAAGGCGACAUAUGAAUGGGAUGAGGAUUAUACUGAUUUGAAUAUUUUCAUAGGUUAGAAUAUGAGAAACUGAAAACAAAGUGCCGAGAAAUGGACACGACUGUUGGUAGUGGAAGGGUAAUCACUAUGCCUGUCAUAACAGAAGAUGGCCAGCCUAUCGAGGAUCCUAACUCAACUGGAGAACAGCAAACCAAUAAUGGUCCGCUCACAAAAGAAGUCAUUCAAUGGAAACUUCUUCUGCACCAAAUUGGUAAGCAGCAGUAUUGCCUCUGUUUUCAGCAUCCGUCACAUGUAAAAAAAAAAUAGCAGUUUCCGUAUGUUGUCUUCAAGUUUUUAAGUUUUCUGAUUCUUCCACUGAUCAAUUGCAGGUCUUGAUGUUAACCGAACUGACCGGACAUUAGUGUAUUACGAGAGCCAGGAGAAUUUGGCACGGCUGUGGGACAUUCUUACAGUGUACGCAUGGGUGGACACUGACAUUGGUUACUGUCAGGGUGAGUUGUUUAAGCAACGCAUAUCUUCUUUGUGUGGGUGCAGAUCAAUUAUUUCUUAAACAAAUGUGGAUCAAGUAUUAGUAAAAAGGGAAAUUCUUAACAAUGACAAUUUCCUAAAUGCUAUGUUGUGUAUGCUUGUUAAAUCCUUUAUGCAUGAGCAGGAAUGAGUGAUCUUUGUUCACCAAUAUCAAUAAUUUUGGAACAUGAAGCAGAUGCUUUUUGGUGCUUUGAACGGCUGAUGCGCAGAGUGGUAAGCACCCCUAUCCUUCUAUCACCAAUGAAACAUUUGGAUCGUUUACAUUUUCAAUUGUUUAGGAACUGCAUUGCUUUCUGCUAACUUGCAUCAUAGUGGCAGCGCGAGGUUUUAGAUUAUGUUUCUACAGAUAACAUUAUAAAACUAAAAGGCUAUAAGAGACAAUGCAUACAAUUUAAAGUUAAAAGACAAUGCAUACAAUUAUUGUAAGAUAAUAUAUGCUUGUAUAAUUUGAGACCUACUCAGUCUGAACUCUGAAUUUUAGGUAGCCAGUUUUGCUUUGCACAAGCAUCUGUUGAUUUCCCAAACCUUAAAGGGACAACGCGGAUAAAUGUAACUACUUGAUGCUGGUAUCGAAAGAAGACGCGAAAAAACUCUGAAGUUCUUGCCUGCGCUUUUGUACUUCUCUGAAGUAAUAGGCUCUUCUGCUGCAUGCCUGCAUGUGGUAUCUGACUUCAUUCAUGUUUCUGCAUAUGCUUAAAGCUUUAAUAUUUUACCUUCAAAAUAUGCAGCGUGAAAAUUUCAAGAGUACUUCUACCUCAAUUGGAGUUCGAUCUCAGCUGACCACCUUGUCAACCAUAAUGAAAGCUGUUGACCCAAAGCUACAUGAGCAUUUAGGUAGAGUUUUUUUUGGAGCUAAAUGUUCUUUAUUUUAUUUUAUUUUCUUUAUUAGACUGUUCAAGAAACGAAUGCCUUUGCUUCAUCAAUUAUUUAACAACGAGCUCCAAUUUUUGUAUUUCCUAAUAAAAAAAUAUAUGCAGAAAAUCUUGAUGGAGGUGAAUACUUAUUUGCCUUUCGGAUGCUGAUGGUUAUUUUUCGUAGAGAGUUCUCUUUUAUAGACACGAUGUACCUUUGGGAGGUAAGAUUUCUUGAUAAUGCUAACUAACCUGUAGUGUGCUAGUUGCCUGUGCACUAGAUUAAUUUUCUUGAGAACUCAAUCUGGAGUGUCAUCAAACAUAAUGAUCAUUGACAUUUAGUUUUUAAUCUAAUUCCAAUUUGUACUACAUGGGGUAUUGGUUUCUUAAUGGAAGGCGUUCUGGCCACAAUUGAAACUAUAUUUUCUUGAUCUUCAAAAUGUUGCAGCUCAUGUGGUCUAUGGAGUACAAUCCAGGGUUUUUUUCAAUGUUGGAGAGUAACACUGGACCACCAAAUGCAAAAGAUGAAAAUACCCUAAAACAGUGUGGAAAGUUUGAAAGGAAAAAAUUGCAGGCAGCCAAGCAAGAUGAUCAGAUCCCUCUAUCGGUCUUUGUUGUAGCUAGCGUCAUAGAGGCUAGAAACAAGCGGUUACUGGGGGAGGCAAAAGGUCUCGAUGAUGUCGUCAAGGUCCUCUCUCUCCCUCUCUCUCUCCCCCCACGCACACACGCACACACACACAAUGUUGAUCAGAACCGAAAGUUAUGUUUUUUAUGUUCCUGUCCCCUGAGAACAGAUUUUGAAUGAAAUCACUGGAAGCCUGGAUGCAAGAAAGGCAUGUAGAGGGGCAUUGACGAUUCAGGAGAAGUACCUAACCACAGUGAGUUUCCUGUCGAUACCUAUACCAUUAUACGGUAAGGAGAUGCAAAUAAAAAUAAUCUGUACUUUCCUGAACUGCAGGUAAAAGCAUCAUAGCGACAUGUACAGGAAAGCAUCCUUAGCAACAAGAUUCGAUUGGUCCUUUUUUUUUUACUGGAGAAACAGUUGUAUGGCAGAAAAUUUUCCAUUUUUGAUGUGUAUGUUCUGUAAUUUUUUGACCCACUAUGUAAUUUGGUACUUGCACAAAAGGGAAAUGAAUACCAGUGGGAUUGUUCAGGAAUAAAGGUUGCAUUUCUUGUAGAGUUAAAUACCAGUAGGAUUAUUUGUUAGCAAAGUUUGCUAGUCCUCAUAAAUAUACUUCAAACACUUCAAGUCUCAACUGUUGUUGCAUACAUCGAGAUAUGUAAAGAUUUUCCUUUCAGAACUAUAUUCCUGGAGUUAAAUUUUGUUUUGGUUCUUUAGCAUCCAGUGGUUGGAGAGGAGUAGGAAUCAACAAAUAAAAUGGCACAUAAUUAGCACAAAAGACAGACCCGGUGCUAGAAGCCCCCACUGGGGAAAGAUUAUACUACGAGGCAAGCCUUACCCUUGCACAUUGCAACGCAGAGAGGCCACGUCGAACCCAGGACUUCUUGGCACAAGUGGGGAGUACUUCACCACUCACCAUUGCGCCAGGCCUGUCCUUUGCAAAUAAUCAGGCUAAAGCAGAAAUUAGUUAGUCAAAUGGCCAACUAUUUGACUAAAAUAGAAAUCUGAUUCAGGCCAACACCUGAUUUCUUUUUGACGGAGAACACAUGAAGUUAUGAUCUCAAAGAAGAAAAACACAGGGAAAUGAAAAAUCCUGUGAACAUUGUACGUAUUACAUACAAGUAUAUAUCAAACGUUCACAGCAAAUAUAUGUAUAGUUGUUUCUAUUUGCGUUUUUCUAUACAUGUGGAAAGGCUGAAAGCGUGUGCCUAUUUCAAAUAAUAUAUGUCUGACAUUACUUUGCUGAAUUAGGUCAAACUUCCAGCACAGAUUUUAUUAAUUACCUUCGCUUAAACAGAGGUAAGGAUGUGUGAUACAAUUACAGAUGGUUAAAAUCAAAACAAGAGGCUGUAAACUAAGAGCCUGCCAGACUUCCUACCUAAAUGUCUCCUAUUUUUUCUGAGCUGGCCGGUCCCACCAUUUGCGCUCCAGACUAGUUAAACAGAACCAGGGCCUCUCAAUCUGGUACGUGUCGAAACGAACAGCAACCAAGGGAAACCUAGACCCAAAAAUAGUGGGCUAUUAAUAGAUUAAGGCAACAAACUUGCAGCCCUUCCAUUUCCCCCAACUAGGAAGAGAAUCUAGUCUUCUUGCUUCUCUUGGAGCUUGGGAGAGGAUUGAAAUUUUUCGCCAAUUUGCGCCAGAUCAUGCUAGAAUAGGAGAGCAAGACAAUUGUCGUGACCACGGUGGAGAUGUCACCAAGAAGCUGAAAUUCUGUUGAUUGGCCUUGGUUGCUCCAUUAAUAUUGGUUCCUAAGGUAUGUGGGCUUGAUUUCAUUGGAUGGUGGUUAUUUUGUCUGAAUCUACUUGUGCGUGGCAGACAGAUUGAAACACAAUAUCAAAAGAAUGGACAAAUUGUUUCAAUCUGUUCAUCAAUCUGUUCAUUCUGGUAAUUCAUCUUUUGUGCUCUACACAUUAUCGGGUUCGAUCCUAUAUGGAAUGUAGAGAUAAUCUCACCCAAAACUGAUAGCAAAUCCAUGAGCCCCUGAUGCAUGGCAGCGCCAAUUAACAACACUAUAUUCUGAAGAAAACUUUCAGAUGGGCUGUUUUCAGAAGUUAUUUCUAUUCAUUUUUGUUUGGUAGUUUAAAGGAUCGCAUCACAUUUCAUUGUUUGCACCUACAAACCUCUGGAUGAUGACAUUGGGUCUAUUCAUCUACAAACAAUAUAUUCUGAAGAAAACUUUCAGAUGGGCUGUUUUCAGAAGUCAUUUAUUCAUUUUUGUUUGGUAGUUUAAAGGAAAAGGUGUGACAGCUCCCUGGUGCAGGGGCACCCUCAUGAACAGUAACUUCAAAACAAUAUGAAAAAAAAUCGAAAAAAUCUGAAAUUUUGGGGGAUCAAAUAUGAUCAAACUUUUGAUGUUCUUGAGGGUGCCCCUGCACCCGGGAGCUGAAAGUUCAGUCUCUAGUUUAAAGGAUCGCAUCACAUUUCAUUGUUUGCACAAACAAACCUCUGGAUGAUGACAUUGGGUUUAUUCAUCUACAAACAAAGUAAAUGUGGGAUCGUUGAUUCUUCCUUUUGAUUUGCACAAUAAACUUUCAUCUGUUAACGCCUUAAUAAUUAUAUUUCUUAUGAAGGCUUAGAUCAAGAGGUGGAAGGCGCAAAAGACUUAAGUGGUGGAUUCCUCACAGGGUGCCGCGGGCGGUCAGCCGCCUGUGGAACCAGUUAAGAUGAAGGGCCUUCUCAAGGGCCUCCGAUACAUCUCGCAAAUAUUCGGUACGCGCCAAGCACCCACUAAACCAGCCACAAUUCUACAGUCAAAUCCCCUAAAUUCUAACCAGCCACAAUGAAUUAACCACCAAAACAAUAUUCACAUCAAGCAUCAUGAACAUGCAUAGAAUUCAACCAGAAGAUGAAAAGCUGCCAAGUUAAAAAAAAUUGUGAAACAAAAUGCAGUAGGAUGGUGUUGUAAAGUGUGUGCACCUUGUCUGUUGUUGUGUGCGUGCGGGUAGUUGCAGACCCCAAGGAGCCGGAGAUCCAGAUCGGCGCCCCGACGGACGUGAAGCACGUCGCGCACAUCGGCUGGGACAACAACUCCGUCGCCAACCCCGCCUGGGUAAGCGCGCGCGCGGGCGCCAUUUCCAUUUCCAACGUGAAUCUCCAAUUCUCCAUCGUGACGCACGGUUCCGGCCGGCCGAUUUGGUUGCAGAUGAACGAGUUCAAGUCGCAGCAGGGAGCGUCGGGGAGCGGCGGGCCGGAGGGCGCGAUGGCGGGGGCGGAGCAGCCCGGAGGAGGAGGAGGAGGAGGAGGAGGAGGAGGNNNNNNNNNNNNNNNNNNNNNNNNNNNNNNNNNNNNNNNNNNNNNNNNNNNNNNNNNNNNNNNNNNNNNNNNNNNNNNNNNNNNNNNNNNNNNNNNNNNNNNNNNNNNNNNNNNNNNNNNNNNNNNNNNNNNNNNNNNNNNNNNNNNNNNNNNNNNNNNNNNNNNNNNNNNNNNNNNNNNNNNNNNNNNNNNNNNNNNNNNNNNNNNNNNNNNNNNNNNNNNNNNNNNNNNNNNNNNNNNNNNNNNNNNNNNNNNNNNNNNNNNNNNNNNNNNNNNNNNNNNNNNNNNNNNNNNNNNNNNNNNNNNNNNNNNNNNNNNNNNNNNNNNNNNNNNNNNNNNNNNNNNNNNNNNNNNNNNNNNNNNNNNNNNNNNNNNNNNNNNNNNNNNNNNNNNNNNNNNNNNNNNNNNNNNNNNNNNNNNNNNNNNNNNNNNNNNNNNNNNNNNNNNNNNNNNNNNNNNNNNNNNNNNNNNNNNNNNNNNNNNNNNNNNNNNNNNNNNNNNNNNNNNNNNNNNNNNNNNNNNNNNNNNNNNNNNNNNNNNNNNNNNNNNNNNNNNNNNNNNNNNNNNNNNNNNNNNNNNNNNNNNNNNNNNNNNNNNNAUUUGAACUUGGUUUUCGUUGGGCCUCUGGAAGAAAGAGCACAGGGCUUGCCGCGAGGCCUCGAGAGAGAUAUGGGCCUUUUUUGCUUGUUUUUUCUUUUCUUUAUAACGCUGCGUUGUUUGUUUCGGGCCGGUGUUUGGAACCGACUGCUUUUAGAAGAUGAUUUAUGGUGGUGUAAUGUGUGUGUGUAGAUGUGGAAAUGGGCCAUCUGUAACGUGUGCUUAGCGUGUGUUAUUAUCCUUUAUUACUAAUCUGAGAUGGAGAUAUAUUACUAAUUGGAUCGGAGCUUAGAUGGUAGGAUCGGAGCUUAACGUGUGCUUAGCGUGUCUAUAACUCCCUUACUGCGAGGUGCAUUUCGCGCUCACGUACAACACACGACAAAUGGGCCGGCCUGGCAAAUGUACGUGUGCGGCAGCGUCCCACACAUUGUUAUCAGAAUCGCGAUUCUGUUAUACGAGUCUACGACUUUACGAUCCAAACUUAUCCCUCUAAUUCUAUGAUUCUGGUUCUCAGAAUCUACGUUUGUACGAUCAUGAUAGUAAAGAUUCUACAAUUUGCGAUCCUACCAUCUAAGCUCCGAUCCGAUUCAAAUCGCAAUUCUGACAACCUCACAUCUACGCUUAAUUUACACAAGCAUGUGUGUCUAGUGUUGUUCACUUCAUAAGGUCGUUGUUUAUAUGAGAAGUGUUUGGAUGGUUAAGAAGGCAGUGAUAUACUUCCAGCCCAUCAGGAAUCAAACCCUAGGUUUGACGCUCUGAUAUCUCAUAAAGGCAGGCUAUCACUCAGUGGGGGUAACAUUUCCGUCAAUAGUAAGGCGCUAGUAGGCUCAGUUUUUUGGAAGUGCUCAUCAUGAUAGAAUGUAUGUGCGUGCAUUCAUAGAGGCGAUUAUACGCAUAUAGUUUAUGAGCAUAUGUGCCUGCUCUGUAUAUCUACAAAAAUUAUGCAAACGUACGUUUUUAUUUCAUUUUCAGUCGUCAAUAUGUACGUCGGUUCAUUCUUUUUCCUUUUUCGUUUUCACUUUUGUUUAUUUUCGAAAUUUUCGAAAUAUUUGUGUUUAAGAAUUAAUUUACUAUGAUUUAAAAAAAGUCACACAACACAUUACAAAACAAUUCAUGCAAUGUAAAAAAUUCUUUACACAAUUUUAAGAAAUCACACCAUGAAAAUGUUCAUCUUGUGUAAAAUUAUUCACAUAUUUUAACAAAAUUUUCAUGAAAAUGUAAAAAAUUAUUCACAUGAUUUUGUAAAAAAUAUUCGUACACUUCAUUUUUUUAUUAAUGUCAUUUAUAAAAUAUUUCUGAAUUUAAACAUAUAUUCAUGAAAUUUAUAGAAAAAUUAUGAAAUGAAAUAAACUUGUUCUUGCAAUUUUAGAAAAAUGGACAUAACAUAAAAUACAUAUUCAUGCCAUUUUUUUAAAAUGCUCUAAUUUCUAACACUUGACAAAUAUUUUCAUGUUUAAAAAAAUGUUCAUGACUUUUUUGGAAAAAAAGGUUUAACAUGUGUUUAAAAAUGUUUAGUGUGCAUUUUACAAAUGUGCAGCACAUAUUCGCAUAAAUGUUCAACAUGCAUUACUACACAACGAGGCUAUUUAUGUUGGAAAUAUGCCCUAGAGGCAAUAAUAAAUUAGUUAUUAUUAUAUUUCCUUGUUCAUGAUAAUCGUUUAUUAUCCAUGCUAGAAUUGUAUUGAUAGGAAACUCAGAUACAUGUGUGGAUACAUAGACAACACCAUGUCCCUAGUAAGCCUCUAGUUGACUAGCUCGUUGAUCAAUAGAUGGUUACGGUUUUCUGACCAUGGACAUUGGAUGUCAUUGAUAACGGGAUCACAUCAUUAGGAGAAUGAUGUGAUGGACAAAGACCCAAUCCUAAGCCUAGCACAAGAUCAUGUAGUUCGUAUGCUGAAGCUUUUCUAAUGUCAAGUAUCAUUUUCUUAGACCAUGAGAUUGUGCAACUCCCGAAUACCGUAGGAGUGCUUUGGGUGUGCCAAACGUCACAAGUAACUGGGUGGCUAUAAAGGUACACUACAGGUAUCUCCGAAAGUGUCUGUUGGGUUGGCACGAAUCGAGACUGGGAUUUGUCACUCCGUGUAAACGGAGAGGUAUCUCUGGGCCCACUCGGUAGGACAUCAUCAUAAUGUGCACAAUGUGAUCAAGGAGUUGAUCACGGGUACGAAACGAGUAAAGAGACUUGCCGGUAACGAGAUUGAACAAGGUAUCGGGAUACCGACGAUCGAAUCUCGGGCAAGUAUCGUACCGCUAGACAAAGGGAAUUGUAUACGGGAUUGAUUAAGUCCUUGACAUCGUGGUUCAUCCGAUGAGAUCAUCGUGGGACAUGUGGGAGCCACCAUGGGUAUCUAGAUCCCGCUGUUGGUUAUUGACCGGAGAGUCAUCUCGGUCAUGUCUGCAUGUCUCCCGAACCCGUAGGGUCUACACACUUAAGGUUCGGUGACGCUAGGGUUAUAGAGAUAUUAGUAUGCGGUAACCCGAAAGUUGUUCGGAGUCCCGGAUGAGAUCCCGGACGUCAAGAGGAGUUCCGGAGGUAAAGAUUUAUAUAUGGGAAGUCUUGUUUUGGUCGCCGGAAAAGUUUCGCGCAUUAUCGGUAUUGUACCGGGAGUGCCGAAAGGGGUCCGGGGGUCCACCUGCCCCGGGGGGCCACAUGGGCUGUAGGGUGUGCGCCUUGGCCUAUAUGGGCCAAGGGCACCAGCCCCAAGAGACCCAUGCGCCAAGAGAUAAGGGAAAGGAAGAGUCCUAAAAGGGGAAGGCACCUCCUAGGUGCCUUGGGGAGGAUGGACUCCUCCCUGGCCGCACCCUUCCUUGGAGGAAGGGCCAAGGCUGCGCCCCCCUCUCCCUUGGCCCUAUAUAUAGUGGGGGGAAGGGAGGGCAGCACCACCUAAGCCCUGGCGCCUCCCUCUCCCUCCCAUGACACAUCUUCCUCCUCCCGCAGCGCUUGGCGAAGCCCUAUUGGAAUCCCGCUACUUCCACCACCACGCCGUCGUGCUGCUGGAUCUCCAUCAACCUCUCCUCCCCCCUUGCUGGAUCAAGAAGGAGGAGACGUCGUUGCUCCGUACGUGUGUUGAACGCGGAGGUGCUGUCCGUUCGGCGCUAGGAUCAUCGGUGAUUUGGAUCACGACGAGUACGACUCCAUCAACCCCAUUCUCUUGAACGCUUCCGCGCGCGAUCUACAAGGGUAUGUAGAUCCACUCCUCCCUCAUUGCUAGAUGACUCCAUAGAUAGAUCUUGGUGACACGUAGGAAAAUUUUGAAUUUAUGCUACGUUCCCCAACAGUGGCAUCAUGAGCUUGGUCUAUGUGUAGUUUCUAUGCACGAGUAGAACACAAAGUAGUUGUGGGCGUUGAUUUUUUUCAAUAUGCUUACCAUUACUAGUCCAAUCUUGAUUCGGCGGCACUGUGGGAUGAAGCGGCCCGGACCGACCUUACACGUACUCUUACGUGAGACUGGUUCCACCGACUGACAUGCACUAGUUGCAUAAGGUGGCUAGCGGGUGUCUGUCUCUCCCACUUUAGUCGGAUCGGAUUCGAUGAAAAGGGUCCUUAUGAAGGGUAAAUAGCAAUUGGCAUAUCACGUUGUGGUUUUGCGUAGGUAAGAAAUGUUCUUGCUAGAAACCCUUAGCAGCCACGUAAAACAUGCAAACAACAAUUAGAGGACGUCUAACUUGUUUUUGCAGGGUAUGCUAUGUGAUGUGAUAUGGCCAAAAAGAAUGUGAUGAAUGAUAUGUGAUGUAUGGGAUCGAUCAUGUUCUGGUAAUAGGAAUCACGACUUGCAUGUCGAUGAGUAUGACAACCGGCAGGAGCCAUAGGAGUUGUCUUAAUUUAUUUAUGACCUGCGUGUCAACAUAAACGUCAUGUAAUUACUUUACUUUAUUGCUAACCGUUAGCUGUAGUAGUAGAAGUAAUAGUUGACGAGACAACUUCAUGAAGACACGAUGAUAGAGAUCAUGAUGAUGGAGAUCAUGGUGUCAUGCCGGUGACGAUGAUGAUCAUGGAGCCCCGAAGAUGGAGAUCAAAAGGAGCAAAGUGAUAUUGGCCAUAUCAUGUCACUAUUUGAUUGCAUGUGAUGUUUAUCAUGUUUAUACAUCUUAUUUGCUUAGAACGACGGUAGUAAAUAAGAUGAUCCCUCAUUAAAAUUUCAAGAAAGUGUUCCCCCUAACUGUGCACCGUUGCGAAAGUUCGUCGUUUCGAAGCACCACGUGAUGAUCGGGUGUGAUAGAUUCUUACGUUCGAAUACAACGGGUGUUGAUGAGCCUAGCAUGUACAGACAUGGCCUCGGAACACAUGCAAAACACUUAGGUUGACUUGACGAGCCUAGCAUGUACAGACAUGGCCUCAGAACACAAGAGACCGAAAGGUCGAGCAUGAGUCAUAUGGUAGAUACGAUCAACAUGAAGAUGUUCACCGAUGUUGACUAGUCCGUCUCACGUGAUGAUCGGACACGGCCUAGUUGACUCGGAUCAUGUAAUCACUUAGAUGACUAGAGGGAUGUCUAUCUGAGUGGGAGUUCAUAAGAUGAACGUAAUUAUCUUGAACAUAGUCAGAAGGUCUUCGCAAAUUAUGUCGUAGCUCGCGCUUCAAUUCUACUGUUUAGUUAUGUUCCUAGAGAAAUUUAGUUGAAAGUUGAUAGUAGCAAUUAUGCGGACUAGGUCCGUAAACUGAGGAUUGUCCUCAUUGCUCCAUAGAAGGCUUAUGUCCUUAAUGCACCGCUCAGUGUGCUGAACCUCGAACGUUGUCUAUGGAUGUUGCAAACAUCUGACAUACACAUUUUGAUAACUACGUGAUAGUUCAGUUAAACGGCUUAGAGUUGAGGCACCGAAGACGUUUUGAAACGUCGCGAAACAUAUGAGAUGUUUCGAGGGCUGAAAUUGGGAUUUCAGGCUCGUGCCCACGUCAAGAGGUAUAAGACCUCCAGCGAUUUUCUUAGCCUGCAAACUAAGGGAGAAAAGCUCAAUUGUUGAACUUGUGCUCAGAUUGUCUGAGUACAACAAUCGCUUGAAUCGAGUGGGAGUUGAUCUUCCAGAUGAAAUAGUGAUGGUUCUCUGAAGUCAUUACCACCAAGCUGCUUGAGCUUCGUGAUGAACUAUAAUAUAUCAGGGACAUAUAUGAUGAUCCUUGAGAUAUUCGCGAUGUUUGACACCACAAAAGUAGAAAUCAAGAAGGAGCAUCAAUUAUUGAUGGUUGGUGAAACCACUAGUUUCAAGAAGGGCAAGGGCAAGAAGGGAUACUUCAUGAAACGGCAAAUCAGCUGCUGCUCUAGUGAAGAAACCCAAGGUUGAACCCAAACCCGAGACUAAGUGCUUCUGUAAUAAGGGGAACAGCCACUGGAGCAGAAUUACCCUAGAUACUUGGUAGAUGAGAAGGCUGGCAAGGUCGAUAGAAGUAUAUUGGAUAUACAUUGUGUUAAUGUGUACUUUACUAGUACUCCUAGUAGCACCAGGGUAUUAGAUACCGGUUCGGUUGCUAAGUGUUAGUAACACGAAAUAAAAGCUACAGAAUAAACAGAGACUAGCUAAAGGUGAGAUGACGAUAUGUGUUGGAAGUAUUUCCAAGGUUGAUCAAAUAUCGUACGCUCCCUCUACCAUCGAGAUUGGUGUUUGCGUUGAGCAUAGACAUGAUUGGAUUAUGUCUAUCGCAAUACGGUUAUUCAUUUAAAGUGAAUAAUGGUUACUCUGUUUAUUUGAAUAAUACCUUCAAUGGUCUUACACCUGAAAUGAAUGGUUUAUUGAAUCUCGAUCGUAGUGAUACACAUGUUCAUGCCAAAAGAUAGUAAUGAUAGUACCACCUACUUGUGGCACUGCCACGUAAGUCAUAUCGGUAUAAAACACAUGAAGAAGCUCCAUGUUGAUGGAUCUUUGGGCUCACUUGUUUUGAAAAGUUUGAGACAUGCGAACCAUGUCUAUUGGUGUAUAUGCAUGAAGAAACUCCAUGCAAAUGGACCGUUUGGACUCACUUGAUUUUGAAUCACUUGAGACAUGCAAAUCAUACCACAUGGGCAAGAUGACUGAAAGCCUCGUUUUCAGUAAAAUGGAACUAGAAAGCAACUUGUUGGAAGUAAUACAUUUUGAUGUGUGCAGUCCAAUGAGUGCUGAGGCGUGUAGUGGAUAUCGUUAUGUUCUUACUUCACAGAUGAUUUGAGUAGAUGUUGAGUAUAUUUACUUGAUGAAUCACGAGUCUGAAUUAUUGAAAGGUUCAAGUAAUUUUAGGGUGAAGUUGGAAGAUCGUCGUGGCAAGAGGAUAAAAUAUCUAUGAUAUGAUCAUAGAGAUGAAUAUCUGAAUUACGAGUUUUGCAUAGAUUUAAGACAUUGUGGAAAUUGUUUCACAACUAAUACAGCCUGGAACACCAUAGUGUGAUGGUGUGUCCGAACAUCAUAACUGCACCCUAUUGGAUAUGAUGCAUACCAUGACGUCUCUUAUCGAAUUACCACGAUAGUUUAUGGGUUAGGCAUUAGAGACAACCACAUUCACUUUAAGUAGGGCACCACGUAAUUCCGAUGAGAUGACACCGUAUGAACUAUGGUUUAGAGAAACCUAAGCUGUCAUUUCUUAAAAGUUUGGGGCUGCGACGCUUAUGUGAAAAAGUUUCAGGCUGAUAAGCUCGAACCCAAAGCGGAUAAAUGCAUCUUCAUAGGACACUCAAAACAGUUGGGUAUACCUCCUGUCUCAGAUCCGAAAGCAAUAAGGGAUUGUUUCUAGAAUCGGGUCCUUUCUCGAGGAAAAGUUUCUCUGGAAAAAAUUGAGUGGGAGGAUGGUGGAGACUUGAUGAGGUUAUUGAACCGUCUCUUCAACUAGUGUGUGGCAGGGCACAGGAGUUGUUCUUGUGGCACCUACACCAAUUGAAGUGGAAGCUUAUGAUAGUGAUCAUGAAACUUCAGAUCAAGUCACUACCAAACCUCGUGGGAUGACAAGGAUGCGUACUACUUUAGAGUGGUACGUAAUCCUGUCUUGGAAGUCCUGUUGCUAGACAACAAUGAACCUACGAGCUAUGGAGAAGCGAUGGUGGGCCUGGAUUCCAAAAUGGCUCGAGGCCAUAUAAUCCGAGAGAGGAUCCAUAUAUGAAAACAAAGUGUAGACUUUGGGAGAACUACUUGAUGGUCGAAAGGCUGUUAGGUACAUAUGGAUUUUAAAAGGAAGACGGACAAUGAUGGUAGGUAUCACCAUUAAGAAAGCUCGACUUGUCGUUAAGAUGUUUUCUGACAAGUUCAAGGAGUUGACUGCGAUGAGACUUUCUCACUCGUAGCGAUGCUAAGAGUCUGUUGGAAUUAUAUUAGCAAUUACUGCAUUAUUUGUGAAAUCUUGCAGAUAGGAUGCCAAAAACCAUUGUUUCCUCGACGAUUUUUGAGGAAAGUUUGUAUGUGAUACAACCGGAAGGUUUUGUUAAUCCUGAAAGAUGCUAAUAAGUAUGCAAAGCUCCAGCAACCCUUCUAAGGACUGGAGUAAGCAUCUCGGAGUUGGAAUGUAUGCUUUGAUAAGAUGAUCAAAGUUUUGGGUGUAUACAAAGUUUAUGAGAAACUUGUAUUUCCAAAGAAGUGAGUGGGAGCACUAUAGAAUUUCUGAUAAAUAUAUGUUGACAUAUUGUUGAUCAGAAAUGACGUAGAAUUUCUGGAAAGCAUAUAGGGUUAUUUGGAAAGUAUUUUUCAAUGGAAAGCCUGGAUUUAGCUACUUGAACAUUGAGCAUCAAGAUCUAUAAGGAUAGAUCAAAAUUCUUAAUGGUACUUUCAAAUGAGCACAUACCUUGACAUGAUCUUGAAGGUGUUCAAGAUGGACCAGUCAAAGAAGGAGUUCUUGCCAGAGUUGUAAGGUAUGAAGUUAAGACUUAAAGCUCGACCACGGCAGAAGAAAGAGGAAGGACGAAGGUCGUCCCCUAUGCUUUUGUCAUAGGCUCUAUACGGUAUGCCAUGCUGAGUACCGCACCUGAUGUGUGCCUUGCCACAUAUCUGGCAAGAGGGUACAAAGGUAAUCUCGGAGUAGAUCACCAGAUAGCGGUCUAAAUUAUCCUUAGAGGAAUAAGGAUAUGUUUCUCGGUUAUGGAGGUGAUAAAGAGUUCGACGUAAAGAGUUACGUCGAUGCAAGCUUAACACCUAUCCAGAUAGCUCUGAGUAGAGAUACCGGAUACGUAUAAUGGAGCAACAAUUUAGAAUAGCUCCAAGUAGAACAGUUAUUUGAAAUGGCUCCAAAUAUAGUGUAGUAGCUGCAUCUACAAGAUGACAUAGAGAUUUGCAAAGUACAUACGGAUCUGAAAGAUUCAGACCCGUUGACUAUAACAUCUCUCACAAGCAUAACAUGUUCAAACCCAGAACUCUUCGAGUGUUAAUCACAUGGUAAUGUGAACUAGAUUAUUGACUCUAGUAAACUCUUUGGGUGUUAGUCACAUGGGGAUGUGACCUUGAGUGUUAAUCACAUAUCGAUGUGAACUGGAUUAUUGACUCUAGUGCAAGUGGGAGACUGUUGGAAAUAUGCCCUAGAGGCAAUAAUAAAUUAGUUAUUAUUAUAUUUUCUUGUUCAUGAUAAUCGUUUAUUAUCCAUGCUAGAAUUGUAUUGAUAGGAAACUCAGAUACAUGUGUGGAUACAUAGACAACACCAUGUCCCUAGUAAGCCUCUAGUUGACUAGCUCGUUGAUCAAUAGAUGGUUACGGUUUCCUGACCAUGGACAUUGGAUGUCAUUGAUAACGGGAUCACAUCAUUAGGAGAAUGAUGUGAUGGACAAAGACCCAAUCCUAAGCCUAGCACAAGAUCAUGUAGUUCGUAUGCUGAAGCUUUUCUAAUGUCAAGUAUCAUUUCCUUAGACCAUGAGAUUGUGCAACUCCCAGAUACCGUAGGAGUGCUUUGGGUGUGCCAAACGUCACAACGUAACUGGGUGGCUAUAAAGGUACACUACAGGUAUCUCCGAAAGUGUCUGUUGGGUUGGCACGAAUCGAGACUGGGAUUUGUCACUCCGUGUAAACGGAGAGGUAUCUCUGGGCCCACUCAGUAGGACAUCAUCAUAAUGUGCACAAUGUGAUCAAGGAGUUGAUCACGGGAUGAUGUGUUACGAAACGAGUAAAGAGACUUGCCGGUAACGAGAUUGAACAAGGUAUCGGGAUGCCGACGAUCGAAUCUCGGGCAAGUAUCGUACCGCUAGACAAAGGGAAUUGUAUACGGGAUUGAUUAAGUCCUUGACAUUGUGGUUCAUCCGAUGAGAUCAUCGUGGAACAUGUGGGAGCCAACAUGGGUAUCUAGAUCCCGAUGUUGGUUAUUGACCGGAGAGUCAUCUCGGUCAUGUCUGCAUGUCUCCCGAACCCGUAGGGUCUACACACUUAAGGUUCGGUGACGCUAGGGUUAUAGAGAUAUUAGUGUGCGGUAACCCGAAAGUUGUUCGGAGUCCCGGAUGAGAUCCCGGACAUCACGAGGAGUUCCGGAGGUAAAGAUUUAUAUAUGGGAAGUCUUGUUUUGGUCGCCGGAAAAGUUUCGCGCAUUAUCGGUAUUGUACCGGGAGUGCCGAAAGGGGUCCGGGGGUCCACCUGCCCCGGGGGGCCACAUGGGCUGUAGGGUGUGCGCCUUGGCCUAUAUGGGCCAAGGGCACCAGCCCCAAGAGGCCCAUGCGCCAAGAGAUAAGGGAAAGGAAGAGUCCUAAAAGGGGAAGGCACCUCCUAGGUGCCUUGGGGAGGAUGGACUCCUCCCUGGCCGCACCCUUCCUUGGAGGAAGGGCCAAGGCUGCGCUCCCCCUCUCCCUUGGCCCUAUAUAUAGUGGGGGGAAGGGAGGGCAGCACCACCUAAGCCCUGGCGCCUCCCUCUCCCUCCCAUGACACAUCUCCCUCCUCCCGCAGCACUUGGCGAAGCCCUGUUGGAAUCCCGCUACUUCCACCACCACGCCGUCGUGCUGCUGGAUCUCCAUCAACCUCUCCUCCCCCUUGCUGGAUCAAGAAGGAGGAGACGUCACUGCUCCGUACGUGUGUUGAACGCGGAGGUGCCGUCCGUUCAGCGCUAGGAUCAUCGGUGAUUUGGAUCACGACGAGUACGACUCCAUCAACCCCGUUCUCUUGAACGCUUCCGCGCAUGAUCUACAAGGGUAUGUAGAUCCACUCCUCCCUCGUUGCUAGAUGACUUCAUAGAUAGAUCUUGGUGACACGUAGGAAAAUUUUGAAUUUAUGCUACGUUCCCCAACAAUUUAAGCCCCCAAUAGCACAGGACGACAAGCAUGUGUGAUGACAUUAUCAAACAUAGUACAAAUCAAACCUUGUGUCCAAAAAAAUAAACGUGUGAUCAACGGUCCAUCACGCAUAACCCAAAAAAGUAAACUAAGUGCGAUAUUAUGCACAAAAUUCAAUAAUAAUCUGUGUGAUGUUGAAUCCAUCACACAUGAUUCGCUGGAAAUGAGCGUGUCCGGAUGAUAACACACUGUACUCCAAAUCCAAAUGUCUACGAUUACCUAAUUCAUCGCACACAUUUGGAAUACUAGCACAGUGUGCUAUUCCGAGCAGGCAGGUUAUAAUUAGCAACAUUGUAUACAUUGCAUCAACUUGUAUCAUGUCCGAUAUAGUUCACACGAUUAGAAAAAAAGGUCACGUGUGAUAUUUGAGCUUUCACACACGAUUUGCUACGCGUAAAACAUGUGUACACGUGUCGUCGUUCCUUGUCGCAAUAAAAAAACAAUGUGUGUGCCUAGUGCAUAACACAUGUUGGCAUCCCCCUUCUCCUGUACUCCACCGUAUUCAGUGUUCCCAGUGUUGCAACCAUAUAUAGCGCGUAGUAUUCCGGAGUGCGUCAUGUCCACAUGAGUACAAACGGGUUGUGAGGUGUAAGAUGGGGAUGGUCAGACCAUGUAUGCAGAUAGCACUCGGUUGUCUUGAAAUUCUGGCAGAAUCGUUCUGAGCUCAGAACAUGAAGCAUCGAAAGAUGAACAAGAGUGGAAGUCCAACUAAACCCUAGGUGGUUUUUGUAAUUAAUAUAUGUAAUUGAACUAAUUCCUACUCAAAGAUAGAUUCCAGGAAAGUUCAAUGUUGGCAUGGCAAAGAUAUGUGGAUGUGGAUGAGGGAGUCGUGGACUAAGGGGUCCUCGGGCGUCCGGGCUGUUAUCUGUGGGCCGGCCUGAUGGGCUGUGAAGAUACGAAGACUGAAGACUACAACCGUGUCCGGAUGAGACUCUCCUUGGCGUGGAAGGCAAGCUUGGCGACGGAAUAUGUAAAUUCCCUUCUUUAUAACCGACCUUGUGUAACCCUAGAUCCUUCCAGUGUCUAUAUAAACCGGAGGACUUAGUCCGGAUAGGAGAUACUCAAUACCUUAGUCAUACAUGCUAGACUUCUAGGGUUUAGCCAUUACGAUCUCGUGGUAGAUCAACUCUUGUAAUACUCAUAUUCAUCAACAUCAAUCAAGCAGGAAGUAGGAUAUUACCUCCAUAGAGAGAGCCUGAACCUGGGUAAACAUCGUGUCCCCUGUCUCCUGUUACCAUCAACCUUAGACGCACAGUUCGGGACCCCCUACCCGAGAUCCACCGGUUUGGACACCGACAUUGGUGCUUUCAUUGAGAGUUCUCUAUGCUGUCGCUGAAAGGUUUGAUGGCCCCUUCAAUCAUCAAUAAUGACGUUGUCUGCGGAGAAACUUUCCUCCCCGGGCAGAUCUUCGUAUUCGGCGGCUUCACACUACGGGCCAACUCAUCUGGCCAUCUGGAGCAGAUCGAAAGCUACGCCCCUGGCCAUCAGGUCAGAUUCGGGAGCUUGAACUACGUCGCGGACGUCCGUGGAGACUUGAUCUUCGCCCGAUUCGAUACCACGGCGACCGCUCCCGGUCACCCCGAUGAUCAUGACCAAAAUCUGUCAUUGGGCCACAUCCAGGAGAUCGCUCCUGUAACCGCUCUGGCCCUAGAGCCGGAUCAAGCCACGCCAUCCAAAGAUGGGAGGAUGAACCCCACCUCGGAGGCCGCAGAUUCCCCGGUGUUGGAGCCGCACAUGGACUUGGUCUCACACGAUGCCUAUGCCACCGAAACGCCGGACUCGUCUCCGACCGUAGGUUCCGAACCGCGCGAGCCCGCGUACGCCGAGCUUGAUCGUCUAUCGAUCUUCAAAUUCAACGCUGCAGACAUAUUCCAGCACUCGCCUUUGGGCGAUGUGCUAAACUCAUUUAAAAGCCUGUCCUUGGCAGAGGACUCUCAGCCGAACUAUAUCCGGCUUGAACUAGGGGCUGACGAUGGAGAAUUGUGCUCCCCACCCACCACCCACUUCAUAGCCACAAGGGCGCGGGGGCGGAGCAGCCCGGGGAAGGAGGAGGAGGAGGAGGGGCGGGCAAGGCGGAGCAGCCGGAGGCGAAGCCUCGGCGGACGAGAGGGAAGGGGUCGCGGAGCGGUGAGGGGAAGCGGGAAGGGCGGCGGACGGCGAAGGCGGAGGCCUCGGCGGAGGGCGGAGAGAGGGAGGCGGCGGCGGCGAAGCCACGACGGAGGAAGCCCAAGACGUCCGGGGGCGGCUCGGGGUCGGGGAGCCGGUCCAAGCCGGGAUCAGGGGGAGCCGCGUCGGAGUCGUCCGCCGUGGAGGCGGAGGAGGGGUGAAGCGCGCCGCCUCGCCUCGCCGCGCCGCGCGCUGCUCGCUGGUACAUACGGGGAGAAGCUUUUUUUUUCUUUUUUCAGUUUGAACUUGGUUUUCGUUGGGCCUAUGGAAGAAAGAGCACAUGGCUUGCCGCGAGGCCUCGAGAGAGAUAUGGGCCUUUUUUGCUUGUUUUUUCUUUUCUUUAUAAUGCUGCGUUGUUUGUUUCGGGCCGGUGUUUGGAACCAACUGCUUUUAGAAGAUGAUUUAUGGUGGUGUAAUGUGUGUGUGUGUAGAUGUGGAAAUGGGCCAUCAGUAACGUGUGCUUAGCGUGUGUUAUUAUUAUCCUUACUUAUCUGAGAUGGAAAUAUAUGACAGUUCACCUAUAUGUGGGCGUGUCUAUAACUCGCUUAUCGCCUGGUGCAUUUCGUGCUCGCCUACAACACACGACAUAUGGGCCGGCCCGACAAAUGUAUGUGUGCGGCACCGUCUCACAUAUUGUUGUCAGAAUCAUGAUUUUGUUAUAAGAGUCUACGACUUUACGAUCUAAACUUAUCCCUUUGAUUAUAUGAUUCUGGUUCUCAGAAUCUAUGUUUGUACAAUCAUGAUAGUGAAGAUUCUACAAUUUGCGAUCCUACCAUCUAAGCUCCGAUCCGAUUCAAAUCGCGAUUCUGACAACCUCACAUCUACGAUUAAUUUACACAAGCAUGUGUGUCUAGUGUUGUUCGCUUCAUAAGGUCGUUGUUUAUAUGAGAAGUGUUUGGAUGGUUAAGAAGACAGUGAUAUACUUCCAGCCCAUCAGGAAUCAAACCCUAGGUCUGACGCUUUGAUAUCUCAUAAAGGCAGGCUAUCACUCAAUGGGGGUAACGUUUCCGUCAAUAGUAAGGCGCCAGUAGGCUCGGUCUUUUGAAAGUGUUCACCAGGAUAGAAUGUAUGUGCGUGCAUUCAUAGAGGCGAUUAUAUGCAUAUAGUUUAUGAGCAUAUGUGCCUGUUCUGUAUAUCUAUAAAAAUAUCCAUACGUAUGUUUUUAUUUCAUUUUCAGUCGUCAAUAUGUACGACGGUUUGUUCUUUUUUCUUUUUCUUUUUCACUUUUGUUUAUUUUCGAAAUAUUUGUGUUUAAGAAUUAAUUUACUAUGAUUUAAAAAAAAUCACCACACAUUACAAAACAAUUCAUGCAAUGUAAAAAAUUCUUUACACAAUUUUAAGAAAUCACACCAUGAAAAUGUUCAUCUUUUGUAAAAUUAUUCACAUAUUUUAACAAUUUUUUUCAUGAAAAUGUAAAAAAAUAUUCACAUAAUUUUGUAAAAAAAUAUUCGUACACUUCAAUUUUUUUAUUAAUGUCAUUUAAAAAGAUUUGUUAAUUUAAACAUAUAUUCAUGAAAUUUCUAGAAAAAUUAUGAAAUGAAAUAAACUUGUUCUCGCAAUUUCAGAUAGAUGGACAUAACACAAAAUACAUAUUCAUGCCAUUUUUUUAAAAUGCUCUAAUUUCUAACACUUGACAAAUAUUUUCAUGUUAAAAAAAUGUUCAUGGAUUUUUUGAAAAAAAGGUUUAACAUGUGUUUAAAAAUGUUUAGUGUGCAUUUUACAAAUGUUCAGCACACAUUUGCAUAAUGUUCGACAUGCAUUACUACACAACGAGGCCAUUUAAGCCCCCAAUAGCACAAAACAACAAGCAUGUGUGACGACAUCAUCAAACAUAGUACAAAUCAAACCUUGUGUCCAAAAAAUUAAACGUGUGAUCAACGGUCCAUCACGCGUAACCCAAAAAAGUAAACUAAGUGCGAUAUUAUGCACAAAAUUCAAUAAUAAUGUGUGUGAUGUUGAAUCCAUCACACACGAUUCGCUGGAAAUGAGCGUGUCCGGAUGAUAACACACUGUACUCCAAAUCCAAAUGUCUACGAUUACCUAAUUCAUCGCACACAUUUGGAAUACUAGCACCGUGUGCUAUUCCGAGCAUGCAGGUUAUAAUUAGCAACAUUGUAUACAUUGCAUCAACUUGUAUCAUGUCCGAUAUAGUUCACACGAUUAGAAAAAAGGCCGCGUGUGAUAUUUGAGCUUUCACACACGAUUUGCUACGCAUAAAACAUGUGUACAUGUGUCGUCGUUCUUUGUCGCAAUAAAAAAACAAUGUGUGUGCCUAGUGCAUAACACACGUUGGCAUCCCCUUCUCCUGUACUCCACCGUAUUUAGUGUUUCCAGUGUUGCAACCAUAUAUAGCGCGUAGUAUUACGGAGUGCGCCAUGUCCACAUGAGUACAAACGGGUUGUGAGGUGUAAGAUGGGGAUGGUCAGACCAUGUAUGCAGAUAGCACUCGGUUGUCUUGAAAUUCCGGCAGAAUCGUUCUGAGCUCAGAGCAUGAAGCAUCGAAAGAUGAACAAGAGUGAAAGUCCAACUAAUCCCUAGGUGGUUUUUGUAAUUAAUAUAUGUCACUGAACUAAUGCCUACUCAAAGAUAGAUUCCAGGAAAGUUCAAUGUUGGCAUGGGAAAGAUAUGUGGAUGUGGACCUCUCAAAAUGCUAAGGAAGCACAUUGGCAAAAACUUGAAGACUCUUCAUUUUUGUUUGAGUUAUCCAAGAUCACAUUGAGUCCGUAAUAAAGGCAAUACUAUUAAAAUGGGAUAAGGUUUUGAUCACGACUCAAUUGCUCAAAGUGCUUGAAGAUAUUGCUCCAAGACCCCCAGUCACUUUUCCACAUUCUAAUAUGUCAAAACCCUAAAUGUCAAACUCGAUCACACCGAAACCUUCACAUCUGUAUGUUGGGGAACGCAGUAAUUUCAAAAAAGUUCCUACGCACACGCAAGAUCCAUCUAGGAGAUGCAUAGCAACGAGAGGGGUAGAGUAUGUCUACGUACCCUCAUAGACCGAGAAGGGAAGCGUUAUGAAACGCGGUUGAUGUAGUCGAACGUCUUCGCGAUCCAACCAAUCAAGUACCGAAUGCACGACACCUCCGCGAUCUGCACAUGUUCAGCUCGGUGACGUCCCUCGUACUCUUGAUCCAGUUGAGGCCGAGGGAGAGUUUCAUCAGCACGAUGGCGUGAUGACGGUGAUGAUGAAGUUACCGACGCAGAGCUUCGCCUAAGCACUACAACGAUAUGACCGAGGUGGAAUUCUGUGGAAGGGGGGGGGGGGCACCGCACACGCUAAACAAUCAACUUGUGUGUCUAUGGGCUGCCCCCUCCCCCGUAUAUAAUGGAGUGGAGGAGGGGAGGGCCGACCCUCAUAGGGCGCGCCCAAGGGGGGAGUCCUACNNNNNNNNNNNNNNNNNNNNNNNNNNNNNNNNNNNNNNNNNNNNNNNNNNNNNNNNNNNNNNNNNNNNNNNNNNNNNNNNNNNNNNNNNNNNNNNNNNNNNNNNNNNNNNNNNNNNNNNNNNNNNNNNNNNNNNNNNNNNNNNNNNNNNNNNNNNNNNNNNNNNNNNNNNNNNNNNNNNNNNNNNNNNNNNNNNNNNNNNNNNNNNNNNNNNNNNNNNNNNNNNNNNNNNNNNNNNNNNNNNNNNNNNNNNNNNNNNNNNNNNNNNNNNNNNNNNNNNNNNNNNNNNNNNNNNNNNNNNNNNNNNNNNNNNNNNNNNNNNNNNNNNNNNNNNNNNNNNNNNNNNNNNNNNNNNNNNNGGUAACCCCUCGAUACCCAGGUAAAUGCCCGAACUCACCCGGAACCAUUCCGAUGUCCAAACAUAGCCUUCCAAUAUAUCGAUCUUUAUGUCUCGACCAUUUAGAGACUCCUCGUCAUGUCCGUGAUCACAUCCGGGACUCCGAACUACCUUCGGUACAUCAAAACACAUAGACUCAUAAUACCGAUCAUCAUCAAACGUUAAGCGUGCGGACCCUACGGGUUCGAGAACUAUGUAGACAUGACCCAGACUCACUUCCGGUCAAUAACCAAUAGUGGAACCUGGAUGCUCAUAUUGGUUCCUCCAUAUUCUACGAGGAUCUUUAUCGGUCAAACCGCAUAACAACAUACGUUGUUCCCUUUGUCAUCGGUAUGUUACUUGCCCGAGAUUUGAUCGUCGGUAUCUCAAUACCUAGUUCAAUCUCAUUACCGACAAGUCCCUUUACUCGUUUCAUAAUGCAACAUCCCGCAACUAACUCAUUAGUCACAUUGCUUGCAAGGCUUAUAGUGAUGUGCAUUACCGAGAGGGCCCAGAGAUACCUCUCCGACAAUCGGAGUGACAAAUCCUAAUCUCGAUCUAUGCCAACUCAAUAAACACCAUCGGAGACACCUGUAGAGCAUCUUUAUAGUCACCCAGUUAUGUUGUGACGUUUGAUAGCACACUAAGUGUUCCUCCGGUAUUCGGGAGUUGCAUAAUCUCAUAGUCAUAGGAACAUGUUUAAGUCAUGGAGAAAGCAAUAGCAAUAAACUAAACGAUCAUAGUGCUAAGCUAAUGGAUGGGUCAAGUCAAUCACAUCAUUAUCUAAUGAUGUGAUCCCGUUCAUAAAAUGAAAACUCAUGUCUAUGGCUAGGAAACUAACCAUCUUUGAUUAACGAGCUAUUCAAGUAGAGGCAUACUAGUGACACUCUGUUUGUCUAUGUAUUCACACAUGUACUAAGUUUCCGGUUAAUACAAUUCUAGCAUGAAUAAUAAACAUUUAUCAUGAUAUAAGGAAAAUGUAAAUAACAACUUUAUUAUUGCCUCUAGGGCAUAUUUCCUUCAGUCUCCCACUUGCACUAGAGUCCAUAAUCUAGAUUACAUUGUAUUGAUUCUAACACCCAUGGAGUCUUGGUGCUGAUCAUGUUUUGCUCGUGAGAGAGGCUUAGUCAACGGGUCUGCAACAUUCAGAUCCGUAUGCAUCUUGCAAAUUUCUAUGUCUCCCUCCUUGACUUGAUCGCGGAUGGAAUUGAAGUGUCUCUUGAUGUGCUUGGUUCUCUUGUGAAAUCUGGAUUCCUUUGCCAAGGCAAUUGCACCAGUAUUGUCACAAGAGAUUUUCAUUGGACCCGAUGCACUAGGUAUGACACCUAGAUCGGAUAUGAACUCCUUCAUACAGACUCCUUCAUUUGCUGCUUCCGAAGCAGCUAUGUACUCCGCUUCACACGUAGAUCCCGCCACAACGCUCUGCUUGGAACUGCACCAAUUGACAGCUCCACCAUUCAAUAAAAACACGUAUCCGGUUUGUGACUUAGAGUCAUCCGGAUCAGUGUCAAGGCUUGCAUCAACGUAACCGUUUACGACGAGCUCUUUGUCACCUCCAUAAACGGGAAACAUAUCCUUAGUCAUUUUCAGGUAUUUUAGGAUAUUCUUGACCGCUGUCCAGUGAUCCACUCCUGGAUUACUUUGGUACCUCCCCGCUAAACUGAUAGCAAGGCACACAUCAGGUCUGGUACACAACAUUGCAUACAUGAUAGAACCUAUGGCUCAAGCAUAGGGAAUGACUUCCAUUUUCUCUCUAUCUUCUGCAGUGGUCGGGCAUUGAGUCUGACUCAACUUCACACCUUGUAACAAAGGCAAGAACCCUUUAGUUGCUUGAUCCAUUUUGAACUUCUUCAAAACUUUACCAAGGUAUGUGCUUUGUGAAAGUCCAAUUAAGCGUCUUGAUCUAUCUCUAUAGAUCUUGAUGCCCAAUAUAUAAGCAGCUUCACCGAGGUCUUUCAUUGAAAAAUUCUUAUUCAAGUAUCCCUUUAUGCUAUUCAGAAAUUUAGUAUCAUUUCCAAUCAACAAUAUAUCAUCCACAUAUAAUAUCAGAAAUGCUACAGAGCUUCCACUCACUUUCUUGUAAAUACAGGCUUCUCCAAAAGUCUGUAUAAAACCAUAUGCUUUGAUCACACUAUCAAAGUGUAUAUUCCAACUCCGAGAGGCUUGCACCAGUCCAUAAAUGGAUCGCUGGAGCUUGCACACUUUGUUAGCACCUUUUGGAUCGACAAAACCUUCUGGUUGCAUCAUAUACAACUCUUCUUUAAGAUAUCCAUUAAGGAAUACAGUUUUGACAUCCGUUUGCCCCCGGGUCUACUUUAAUCAUAUUACAAAAACUAAAAAUACUUUGCUACAAUUUAUUUACUUUUAUUUUACUUUUCAAUUUAUCCAUCUACCUAUACAAGAUUUGAUCCUAGCAAGUAACGAGUUCAAGGGGAUUGACAAUCCUCUUGCCCGCAUUGGGUGCAAGUAUUUGCUUUUAUGUGUGCAGGUGUUGAAGACGGGAAUUUGCGUGGUUCUCCUAUUGGUUCGAUAACCUGCUUGGUUCUCACUGAGGGAAAUACUUAUCUCUACUGUACUGCAUCUCCCCUCCUCUUCGGGGAAAAUCCCAACACGGCUCACAAGUAGUAGAUGGUAACAACGACCCGAUGUUUACCCAAUUUUGGGCUCUUUAAGGAGAUAACACCCUACGUCCUACUUGCAUGUAUUGCUUUGGUUUGGAGUACAAAGUACAUGAUCUACGUUGAGAUUAUUUUGUUGUUUUCUACAAGCCAUACCCCUCGGCUUAUAUAGAUACAUGAUGGUGGGGGGGGGGGCUAGGGUUAAAACAUCCUAAUGGGUUACGGAGGAGGAAAUCGAGUCAUCAACGAAUCCAACACCUUGGAGUACAUGAAAAGUCUUCAGGAGCCUUCUGUUUAUACGUCAUAGGCCCCAAAAGUGGCCCACUCUCGACCAGACAUGAGGGUCCUAGGCCCGGCCCACCAGGUGGGAGACGAUGUGGUGAAGGACCCCUGGUUGGAACACCAUCAGUAGCCCCUGAACCGGUCUUCAAGUCUGGAUGCUCCUCGGUUCAUCCGAGUUGCUCUUUGUCUUUGGUCGUCGAUCUUGAAAACUGGUUCAAUGAAUCUGUCUUCUGUAGCCAAGUAUUGAUUGUCGGAUUACAUAUAAGGUGUUUAAAAUCACCUUGGCUCAUGACGGGUCAUCAGGCGUUUUCACACUGGGCCAUAGGUUGGAUAUGCUCCCGCGCACCUGUUGUCGGUGUCAAAACCGGUGGAUCUCGGGUAGGGGGUCCCGAACUGUGCGUCUAAGGUCGACGGUAGCAGGAGACAGGGGACACGAUGUUUACCCAGGUUCGGGCCCUCUCUAUGGAGGUAAUACCCUACGUCCUGCUUGAUUGAUAUUGAUGAAUAUGAGUAUUACAAGAGUUGAUCUACCUCGAGAUCGUGAUGGCUAAACCCUAGAGGUCUAGCUUGUAUGGCUAUGGUAAUGAAUAUAUCUCCCCCUCUGGACUAAUUCCUCCGGUCACUACUAGGGAAAAGCCUAUACACAGAAUCUUACCAGCAGCGCGCUUUAAAAUAAGGCUCUACUGCUAACUAGCAGUAGCGCCCGCGCUCAAACCUCGCUGCUGAAAUGAAUGUAUCAGUAGUGCGCCCACUCUAAGACGCGCUACUGCUAUAAUUGCCACGACGCCGCCGCGAGGCUAGUUCUACCAGCAGCGCACUUGUAUGAAGAGCGCUACUGCUAGGGACCAUAGUAGUAGCGCAUUUACACAAUAACCGCUACUGCUAAGUUUACUAAAAAAUUUAGUCCCACCUUGCUUCGUGAAGAGAGUUUGUACCACCUUAAAUAUGUUACUUCUCAAACUUUCACAACCACUUGGUCUUCAUUGAACUCUAUGUGUAAAAUUUGUGGCCGCAAUAUGAGUCUUCAGCAGUUCCUAAACUGGUGAGGACUCAUAUUGACAAAUCAGAUUGUACACAAAAAGAUCAUUGAUGAUCAAUGUAUUUUUGAUGUCUACUUUUACAUGCUGACACAUAGCAGUACCGCGCUCUUUAUGAAAGGCACUACUGCUAGGUCAUUUAGCAGUAGCGCCUUUUGCUAUAGCGCGCUACUGCUAAGCCAUUCCAUCUCCCCCACUCUCCGACCUAUCCGAUCCACUCACACUCACACUCACUCGAUCUCCCCCUCAACCCCCCACGCCAGUCCUCCCCCGUCGCCCCUCCUUCAAUCUGCGCCGUCGCCACCUCCUCCUCCUCGCUGGACUCGGUACCAGCCUCCUCCUCUGUCCUCCCUCUAGCUGCCGCUGGCCGGCCCCUCCUCGCUCCGCCUACCUUCUCCGUCCUCCCUCCACUCGCUGCCGGCUGGCCCCUCCUUGCUCCGUCUUCCUCCUCCGUCCUACUCUCUUCUCCCUCCUUGAGUCGCCCCUCCUUCUCCCUCCUCCCUCUUCCACCCACAACCCCUCCUCCCUGCUACAUUUUGAUUUAGUAGGCUAGUUGAUUUAGUUGAUUUAGAACAUUUUAAUUUAGUUGAUUCAGUAUGUAGUUGAUUUACUUGAUUUAGAACAUCUUGAUUUAGUUGAUUUAGUAGGCUAGUUGAUUUAGUAGGCUAGUUGAUUUAGUUGAUUUAGAACAUUUUGAUUUAGUUGAUUUAGUAUGCUAGUGGAUUUAGUAGGCUAGUUGAUUUAGUUGAUUUAGUAUGCACCAUUUUAUUGUUAUUUUUCUGUACAUGGAUAGGUAGAUGCUUUUGUUUUUUGUAAUAAGUUAUUUUUUGGCAAAAUGUAGGUGCCAAUUUAGUUAAAUUUGCCACUUGUUUUUAAUCAAUUAUCUUAGGCAAUAAGGGCCAGAUGAGAUGAAAUGUCUUGGUAGUUGGUACCCUUAUUUGGUAGAUAUUUGUGAAAAGUUUUUUCGGCAAUAGGUGCCACCGGAAUGCUUUGUCCAUAAAAUUGCUUCUCACGGAAGAACCAAAAAUAUCACAUGCUACUGUUUUUCUUUCCUGUGAAGUGAAUCGUUAAUCCUUUGCUCAUAUUGCUUUAGGAAAAUGGCGCCACCACCACCACCACUAUGUUGACUGUGCAAGUCAAGGUGCACAAGCAGCCUUGCAACUGGCAAGCUGUUCGGUAUCUACUUCCAGCCGAGUUUUCGUCAUGCGGCGGUAGAAAUUAGAUGAAAUGUAACAACUAUUUUAUUUUUAGUGUUGGCAUUACUGCAUUGUGUCAUUUUGCUUUUUUUACAUAGAUCGUCCUAUGCAAUGUGAGGUUGAAAUUCAACAAGCUGACAGGAGACACUGUGACAUUUGAGGCUCCUGGGGGGCCGUACACUAUGGAGGUCGAGAAAGGAUGCAAUAUGUCGCAGAUUGGAGGAGAUGGAUGGGCCCGUUUCCUUGCCCACAUGCGUCUUACUGGUGGUGAGUUGAUCAGCUUCUUCUUCAGAGCAGAAAGACCCAAGGUAGUUGUCAUUUAUCUCAACCUGGUGGAAGAUGACGAAGAUGAUGAAGAUGACGAAGAUAAUGAGGACCCACUCGAUGAAGAUGAUGAGAACCCACUUCAUGAAGCCAUCAUAGCUCAAAGAAUAAGGCUGAGUGAGGAGGAGGUGUGCAACCUAUGGGACAUAAUUCCGCCACGUGAUGACUUUGUCGGGGUGCCAUUCGUGACCCGCCAGACAAGUACCAUGGUCGAUCGGCAUGAAAUGGUAUGUUAUACGUACUGCCUGUAGUAAUUUGAUGAUAUAUAUGCUUUAUUGUUAUACUUACAAAUGCAAAUUAUUCGAUGAUAUGCUUAGUGAAUCCGAUGAUAUUCUUAGUGUAGAGUCCAAUGAUAUGCUUUGUGGAAUCUAGUCGAUGAUAUGCUUUAGUGUAGAGUCUAAUCACAUGCUCUUAUUAGUGUAGAAUCCAAUGAACUAUUAAUAGUGUAGAUAAUCCAUAUAUACUUAUUAGUAGAAUUCAUGAUUAGUUAGUACAAAUGCGUAGUACUGUGUCUUUUGAUAGUGUAGAAAUCUAGACUUAAUAGAAAUAUAUUUGCAAGAGUAUGUGCGAGGCUAUUUAUUAAUUGAUAUGUUUUUCUUAUUCAGAAAUUGCCAAAGAACCUAUCUGUGAGUUGUGGUAUCGAGCCUGAUGAAGAAGGCUCAGCUGGACUACGCCUUACCGCAAGGGGCUCCGUCACCACCUGUACUUACCGCAUGGACACAGACGGUCGCACACACUUAAACUCGGUUGGGUGGAAGAGAUUCCUCGUUGGCAAGAAUCUUCGUGUUGGACAAGCCAUCCUAAUUACUAUCAGGAACACCCACCGCCCAGGCUUGAGGAUGAUGAUCAUUGUCGAUAUCAUCUAGAACUACAUGUGUGUGUGGCUAUAUCAUCUAGAACUACAUAUGAUGAUCGUCGUCGAUAUCAUGUAGAACUACAUAUGAUGAUCGUCGUCGAUAUUAUCUAGAACUACAUAUGAUGAUCGUCGUCGAUAUCACCUUGUACUACUUCAGGAUGCAUGUUGAGUAUAUAUGAAAUUAUUAUCUAGUACUCCCUCGGUUCCAAAUUACUCGUCGUGGUUUUAGUUCAAAUUUGAACUAAAACCACGACGAGUAAUUUGGAACCGAGGGAGUACUACCUAGUACCUAUAAUGCUUUAUGAAAUUGAUAUCUAGUAGUACCUAGUAUCUGGAAAUUGCUGUUUAUUGAAGCUGAAACGGGGUAGGAAGCCGGGGGGAAAUGAUGAAAGAUAUAGCAGUAGCGCGGGGCAAGGAAAUCACUAUAGCUAAUUAAUAGUAGCGCGUUCCGAAAACUCGCUGCUAAUACAGUCCAGAGUAGUAGCGCGCGUACAGACCGCGCUAUUACUAACCGUUAGCUGUAGCGCCUUAUUGGUAGCGCGGCUGCCCGCGCUGCUAAUAGCCCCAAAACCCGCGCUACUACUAGGGUUUUCCCUAGUAGUGGGUUUAUAUAGACACCGGGAGGAUCUAGGGUUACACAAGGUCAGUUACAAAGAAAGGAAUCAACAUAUUUGGUCACCAAGAUUGCCUUCCACGCCAAGGAGAGUCCUGCUACCUCCUAAGCACUGCGUUGGUUUUCCCUGAAGAGGAAGGGAUGAUGCAGCAAAGUAACAUAAGUAUUUCCCUCAGUUUUUGAGAACCAAUGUAUCAAUCCAGUAGGAGGCUACGUGCGAGUCCCUCAUACCUGCACAAAACAAAUAAAUCCUCGCAACCAACGCGAAUAGGGGUUGUCAAUCCCUACACGGCCACUUACGAGAGUGAGAUCUGAUAGAUAUGAUAAGAUAAUAUUUUUGGUAUUUUUGUGAUAAAGAUGCAAAGUAAAAUAAAGGCAAAGUAAAAAGCAAAGGAAAUAACUAAGUAGUAGGAGAUCAAUAUGAUAAAGAUAGACCCGGGGGGCAUAUGUUUCACUAGUGGCUUCUCUCAAGAGCAUAAUUAUUCUACGAUGGGUGAACAAAUUACUGUUGAGCAAUUAACAGAAUUGAGCAUAGUUAUGAGAAUAUCUAGGCAUGAUCAUGUAUAUAGGCAUCACGUCCUAGACAAGUAGACCGACUCCUGCCUGCAUCUACUACUAUUACUCCACUCAUCGACCGCUAUCCAGCAUGCAUCUAGAGUAUUAAGUUAAAAACAUAGUAACGCCUUAAGCAAGAUGACAUGAUGUAGAGGGAUAGACUCAUGCAAUAUGAUGAAAACCCCAUCUUGUUAUCCUCGAUGGCAACAAUACAAUACGUGCCUUGCUGCCCCUACUGUCACUGGGAAAGGACACCGCAAGAUUGAAUCCAAAGCUAAGAACUUCUCCCAUUGCAAGAAAGAUCAAUCUAGUAGGCCAAACCAAACUGAUAAUUCGAAGAGACUUGCAAAUAUAACCAAUCAUACAUAAAAGAACUCAGAGAAGAUUCAAAUAUUAUUCAUAGUUAGACUUGAUCAUAAACCCACAAUUCAUCGGUCUCAACAAACACACCGCAAAAAGAAGAUUACAUCGAAUAGUUCUCCAUAAGAGAGGGGGAGAACAUUGUAUUGAGAUCCAAAAAGAGAGAAGAAGCCAUCUAGAUAAUAACUAUGGACCCGUAGGUCUGAGGUAAGCUACUCACACUUCAUCGGAGAGGCUAUGGUGUUGAUGUAGAAGCCCUCCGUGAUCUAUGCCCCCUCCGGCGGAGCUCCGGAACAGGCCCCAAGAUGGGAUCUCGUGGAUACAGAAAGUUGCGGCAGUGGAAUUAGGUUUUUGGCUCCGUAUCUGAUCGUUUGGGGGUACGUAGGUAUAUAUAGGAGGAAGGAGUACAUCAGUGGAGCAACAGGGGGCCCAUGAGGGUGGAGGGCGCACCUGGGGGGGGGGGGGGUAGGCACGCCCCCCUACCCCGUGGCCUCCUCUUUUGUGUCUUGACGUAGGGUCCAAGUCUCCCGGGUCUUGUUUGUUGAGAAAAUCACGUUCCCGAAGGUUUCAUUCCGUUUGGACUCCGUUUGGUAUUCCUUUUCUUCGAAACCCUAAAACAGGCAAAAAAAAUCCAACAAUUCUAGGCUGGGCCUCCGGUUAAUAGGUUAGUCCCAAAAAUAAUAUAAAAGUGGAUAAUAAAGCCCAAUAAUGUCCAAAACAGUAGAUAAUAUAGCAUGGAGCAAUCAAAAAUUAUAGAUACGUUGGAGACGUAUCAGGUCCCAUCCGGACACGGGUGUAGUCUUGGGUCUUCGUAUCUCCACAGCCCAUCAGUCCGGCCCAUAGUUAACAAGUCGGACGCCCGAAGACCCUUUAGUCCAGGACUCCCUCAGUAGCCCCCGAACCAGUCUUCAAUGGCGAGGUGUUCGGUGCAUAGAUUGUCUUCGGCAUUGCAAGGCGGGUUCCUCCACCAAUAACCUCCAAGUAGUGUAUUUGGCCUUCCAUUCAAUGUCUGUACCCUUCGGCUUCUGUGUAUCAACAACUUCAGCUUCCACGUGUCGAGCGGAUGCGAGAGGUCAGGGUGUUUUUGCACAUAACGCCCUGACCGCGCGAGGGACAACGUCUAUUUAACGAGACUGGAUCCUAGAUCCAUUCAACUAUCUCGCAGAGAAAAUCCCCAAAGGUUGCCAGGAAAGAACAUGUCUAGCGUUCCCAGCUCCUCCUCUCGUCCCUGCGGCCCAGAGAGAGGCGAGUGGGAGAGGUGCUCCGUAUCCCAUGGUUAGCUGGUGAAGCUGCAAACACAGGGGUUUCUCCCCCCUGCGGAUCUGGUCCCUAUUCGAGUAGGGUUGGCCUCUCUUGACGACAAAAUCCAGGCAGAGGAUUUCCCCAAUCCAUCCAGGGGAACGAGUGUGUUUCGUCCCCUAUUAUAGAUACGUUGGAGACGUAUCAAGCAUCCCCAAGCUUAAUUCCUGCUCGUCCUCGAGUAGGUAAAUGAUAAAGACAAAUUUUUUGAUGCGGAGUGCUACUUGGCAUAAUUUUAAUGUAACUCUUCUUAUUUGUGGUAUGAAUAUUCAGAUCCAAAAGAUUCAAGACAAAAGUUUAAUAUUGACAUAAAAAUAAUAAUACUUCAAGACUAAUAAAGCAAUUAUGUCUUCUCAAAAUAAUAUGGCCAAAGAAAUUUAUCCCUACAAAAUCAUAUAGUCUGGCUAUGCUCCAUCUUCACCACAUAAAAUAUUUAAAUCAUGCACAACCCCGAUGACAAGCCAAGCAAUUGUUUCAUACUUUUGACAUUCUCAAAACUUUUUCUAUUUUCAUGCAAUACAUGAGCGUGAGCCAUGGACAUAACACUAUAGGUGGAAUAGAACGGUGGUUGUGGAGAAGACAAAAAGGGGAAGAUAGUCUCACAUCAACUAGGCGUAUCAACGAGCUAUGGAGAUGCCCAUCAAUAGAUAUCAAUGUGAGUGAGUAGGGAUUGCCAUGCAACGGAUGCACUAGAGCUAUAAGUAUAUGGAAGCUCAAAAAGAAACUAAGUGGGUGUGCAUCCACUUGCUUGCUCAUGAAGACCUAGGGCGAUUUGAGGAAGCCCAUCGGAAUAUACAAGCCAAGUUCUAUAAUGAAAAAUUCCCACUAGUAUAUGAAAGUGAUAACAUGAGAGACUCUCUACUAUGAAGAUCAUGGUGCUACUUUGAAGCACAAGUGUGGUAAAAGGAUAGUAACAUUGUCCCUUCUCUCUUUUUCUCUCAUAUUUUUUUGGGCCUUUCCUAUUUUUUAUGGCCUCUUUUCUUUCUUUUUUUAUUUUUCGUCCGGAGUCUCAUCCCGACUUGUGGGGGAAUCAUAGUCUCCAUCAUCCUUUCCUCAUUGGGACAAUGCUCUAAUAAUGAUGAUCAUCACACUUUCAUUUUUCUUACAACUCAACAAUUACAACUCGAUACUUAGAACAAAAUAUGACUCUAUAUGAAUGCCUCCGGCGGUGUACCGGGAUAUGCAAUGACUCAUGAGUGACAUGUAUGAAAGAAUUAUGAAUGGUGGCUUUGCCACAAAUACUAUGUCAACUACAUGAUCAUGCUAAGCAAUAUGACAAUGAUGGAGUGUGUCAUAAUAAACGGAACAGUGGAAAGUUGCAUGGCAAUAUAUCUCGGAAUGGCUAUGGAAAUGCCAUAAUAGGUAGGUAUGGUGGCUGUUUUGAGGAAGGUAUAUGGUGGGUGUAUAAUACCGGCGAAAGGUGCGCGGUAUUAGAGAGGCUAGCAAAGGUGGAAGGGUGAGAGUGCGUAUAAUCCAUGGACUCAACAUUAGUCAUAAAGAACUCAUAUACUUAUUGCAAAAAUCUACAAGUUAUCAAAGCAAAGUAUUACGCGCAUGCUCCUAGGGGGAUAGAUUGGUAGGAAAAGACCAUCGCUCAUCCCCGACCGCCACUCAUAAGGAAGACAAUCAAAAAAUAAAUCAUGCUCUGACUUCAUCACAUAACGGUUCACCAUACGUGCAUGCUACGGGAAUCACAAACUUUAACACAAGUAUUCUUCAAAUUCACAAUUACUCUACUAGCACAACUUUAAUAUCACCAUCUUUAUAUCUCAAAACAAUUAUCAAGCAUCAAACUUCUCAUAGUAUUCAACACACUCAUAAGAAAGUUUUAUUAUUAAUCUUGUAUACCACGCAUAUUAGGAUUUUAAGCAAAUUACCAUGCUAUUUAAGACUCUCAAAAUAAUCUAAAUGAAGCAUGAUAGAUCAAUAGUUUCUAUAAAACAAAUCCACCACCGUGCUCUAAAAGAUAUAAGUGAAGCACUAGAGCAAAACUAUAUAACUCAAAAGAUAUAAGCAAAGCACAUAGAGUAUUCUAACAAAUUCCAAAUCAUGUAUGGCUCUCUCAAAAGGUGUGUACAAAAAGGAUUAUUGUGGUAAACUAACAAAUAAAGACUCAAAUCAUACAAGACGCUCCAAGCCAAACACAUAUCAUGUGGUGAAUAAAAAUAUAGCUCCAAGUAAAGUUACCGAUAGAAGUAGACGAAAGAGGGGAUGCCUUCCGGGGCAUCCCCAAUCUUUGGAUUUUAGGUGUCCUUAGAUUAUCUUGGGGGUGCCAUGGGCAUCCCCAAGCUUAGUCUCUUGCCACUCCUUGUUCCAUAAUCCAUCAAAUCUUUACCCAAAACUUGAAAACUUCACAACACAAAACUUAAAGUAGAAAAUCUCGUGAGCUCUAUUAGCGAAAGAAAACAAAAGACCACUUCAAGGUACUGUAAUGAACUCAUUAUUUAUUUAUAUUGGUGUUAUACCUACUGUAUUCCAACUUCUCUAUGGUUUAUAAACUAUUUUACUAGCCAUAGAUUCAUCAAAAUAAGCAAACAACACACGAAAAACAGAAUCUGUCAAAAACAGAACAGUCUGUAGUAAUAUGUAGCUAGAGCAAGAUCUGGAACCCUAAAAAUUCUAAAAUAAUUAACUAAAUAUCACUUUCCAAAUAAAAAUGACAGCAGUUCUUGUGAGCGUUAUACUUUCUGUUUUUACAACAAGUGUAACAAGACUUUCCCCAAGUCUUCCCAACGGUUCUACUUGGCACAAACACUAAUUAAAAACAAAAACACAACCAAAACAGAGGCUAGAUAAAUUAUUUAUUACUAAAUAGGAGCAAAAAGAAAGGAAUAGAAAUAAAAUUGGGUUGCCUCCUAACAAGCGCUAUUGUUUAACUCCCCUAUCUAGGCAUAACAAGCAAGGAUAGAUCUAGGUAUUGCCAUCUUUGGUAGGCAAUCCAUAAGUGUCUCUCAUAAUAAAUUCAUAAGGUAAUUUAAUUUUAUUUAUAGGAAAGUGUUCCAUUCCUUUCCUUAAUGGAAAUUGGAAUCUAAUAUUUCCUUCCUUCAUAUCAAUAAUUACACCAAUCGUUCUAAGGAAAGGUCUACCAAGAAUAAUAGGACAUGAAGGAUUGCAAUCUAUGUCAAGAACAAUAAAAUCUACGGGUACAUAAUUCCUAUUUGCAACAAUAAGAACAUCAUUAAUUCUUCCCAUAGGUUUCUUAAUAGUGGAAUCCGCAAGGUGCAAGUUUAAAGAGCAAUCAUCAAAAUCACGGAAACCUAACAAAUCACACAAAGUCUUUGGAAUCGUGGAAACACUAGCACCCAAAUCACAUAAAGCAUAGCAUUCAUGAUCUUUAAUUUUAAUUUUAAUAGUUGGUUCCCACUCAUCAUAAAGCUUCCUAGGGAUAGAAACUUCCAAUUCAAGUUUUUCUUCAUAAGGUUGCAUCAAGGCAUCAACGAUAUGUUUAGUAAACGCUUUAUUUUGACUGUAAGCAUGAGGAGAAUUUAGCACGGAUUGUAACAAGGAAAUACAAUCAAUCAAAGAGAAAUUUUCAUAUUUAAAUUCCUUGAAAUCCAUAAUAAUGGGUUUAGCAACAUCUAGGGUUUUAAUUUCUUCGAUCCCACUUUUAUCAAUUUUAGCAUCAAGAUCAAAAAAUUCCGAAUUCUUGGAACGCCUUCUAGGUAAAGGUGGAUCAUAUUCAGUCCCAUCAUUAUCAAGAUUCAUAUUGCAAAACAAAGAUUUAAUAUGGGACACAUCAAUAACUUUUAGAUCUUCAUCUUUAUUUUCAUAGGAACUUGAAGAACACGCUCUUAUAAAGGCAUCUUUCUUAGCACGCAUCCUAGUGGGUAUUUCUUUGCACUCAUCAAUGGAAAUUCUCAUGGCUUUGAGAGACUCAUUGAUAUAAUGCUUAGGUGGAAUAGAUCUAAGUUUCAAAGAAUCAACAUCAAGAGUAAUUCUAUCAACGUUCCUAGCCAAAUCAUCAAUCUUAAGCAAUUUUUCUUCAAUCAAAGCAUUGAAAUUCUUUUGCAAAGUAAUAAAUUCUUUAAUAUUAGAUUCAAAAUCAGAGGGAAUUUUAUUAUAAUUUCCAUAAGAAUUGUUGUAGGAAUUACCAUAAUUAUUAGAGGGAUUACUAGGAUAAGGCCUAGGGUUGAAAUUUCCUCUAUACGCGUUGUUACCAAAAUUGUUCCUACCAACAAAAUUAACAUCCAUAGAUUCAUUAUUAUUCUCAAUCAAAGUAGACAAGGGCAUAUCAUUAGGAUCAGAAGAAACACUCUUAUUAGCAAAUAAUUUCAUAAGUUCAUCCAUCUUUCCACUCAAAACAUUAAUUUCUUCUAUCGCAUGCACCUUUUUAUUAGUAGAUCUUUCAGUAUGCCAUUGAGAAUAAUUAACCAUAAUAUUAUCUAGGAGUUUAGUAGCUUCUCCUAAAGUGAUUUCCAUAAAAGUGCCUCCCGCGGCCGAAUCUAAAAGAUUUCUAGAAGCAAAAUUCAAUCCGACAUAAAUUUUUUGUAUAAUCAUCCAUAAAUUCAAACCAUGAGUAGGGCAAUUACGUAUCAUUAGUUUCGUUCUCUCCGAAGCUUGUGCAACAUGUUCAUGAUCAAGUUGCUUAAAAUUCAUAAUAUCAUUUCUAAGAGAAAUGAUCUUAGCAGGAGGAAAAUACUUAGAGAUAAAAGCAUCUUUGCACUUAUUCCAUGAAUCAAUACUAUUUUAAGGCAAAGACGAAAACCAAGCUUUAGCACGAUCUCUAAGCGAAAAAGGAAAUAGCUUCAAUUUAACAAUAUCAUUAUCCACAUCUUUCUUCUUUUGCAUAUCACACAAAUCAACGAAGCUAUUCAGAUGGGUAGCGGCAUCUUCAUUAGGAAGGCCAGAAAACGGAUCUUUCAUGACAAGAUUCAGUAAAGCAGUAUUAAUUUCACAAGAUUCAGCAUCGGUAAGAGGAGCAAUCAGAGUGCUAGUAAAAUCAUUGUUGUUGGUAAUGGUGAAGUCACACAAUUUAGUAUUAUCUUGAGCCAUCGUGACAAGCAAGCAACUAACACACAAGCAAACAAAAAGCAAGCGGGCAAAAAAAAGGCAAAUAGAGAAAGAGAGGGAGGAUAGAGAGAGAGGGCGAAUAAAACGGCAAUGGUGAAGUGGGGGAGAGGAAAACGAGAGGCAAAUGGCAAAUAAUGUAAUGCGGGAGAUAAGGGUAUGUGAUGGGUAUUUGGUAUGUUGACUUUUGUGUAGACCUCCCCGGCAACGGCGCCAGAAAUCCUUCUUGCUACCUCUUGAGCACUGCGUUGGUUUUCCCCGAAGAGGAAGGGAUGAUGCAGCAAAGUAGCGUAAGUAUUUCCCUCAGUUUUUGAGAACCAAGGUAUCAAUCCAGUAGGAGGCUACGCGCGAGUCCCUCGUACCUGCACAAAACAAAUAAAUCCUCUCAACCAACGCGAAUAGAGGUUGUCAAUCCCUACACGGCCACUUACGAGAGUGAGAUCUGAUAGAUAUGAUACGACAAUAUUUUUGGUAUUUUUGUGAUAAAGAUGCAAAGUAAAAUAAAGGCAAAGUAAAAAGCAAAGGAAAUAACUAAGUAGUAGGAGAUCAAUAUGAUAAAGAUAGACCCGGGGGCCAUAGGUUUCACUACUGGCUUCUCUCAAGAGCAUAAGUAUUCUACGGUGGGUGAACAAAUUACUAUUGAGCAAUUGACAGAAUUGAGCAUAGUUAUGGGAAUAUCUAGGUAUGAUCAUGUAUAUAUGCAUCACGUCCUAGACAAGUAGACCGACUCCUGCCUGCAUCUACUACUAUUACUCCACUCAUCGACCGCUAUCCAACAUGCAUCUAGAGUAUUAAGUUAAAAACAGAGUAAUGCCUUAAGCAAGAUGACAUAAUUUAGAGAGAUAGACUCAUGCAAUAUGAUGAAAACCCCAUCUUGUUAUCCUCAAUGGAAACAAUACAAUACGUGCCUUGCUGCCCCUACUGUCACUGGGAAAGGACACCGCAAGAUUGAACCCAAAGCUAAGCACUUCUCCCAUUGCAAGAAAGAUCAAUCUAGUAGGCCAAACCAAACUGAUAAUUCGAAGAGACUUGCAAAGAUAACCAAUCAUACAUAAAAGAAUUCAGAGAAUAUUCAAAUAUUAUUCAUAGAUAGACUUGAUCAUAAACCCAUAAUUCAUCGGUCUCAACAAACACACUGCAACAAGAAGAUUACAUCGAAUAGUUCUCCACAAGAGAGGGGGAGACCAUUGUAUUGAGAUCCAAAAAGAGAGAAGAAGCCAUCUAGCUAAUAACUAUGGACCCGUAGGUCUGAGGUAAACUGCUCACACUUCAUCGGAGAGGCUAUGGUGUUGAUGUAGAAGCCCUCCGUGAUCGAUUCCCCCUCCGGCGGAGCUCUGGAACAUGCCCCAAGAUGGGAUCUCGUGGAUACAGAAAGUUGCGAUGGUGGAAUUAGGUUUUUGGCUCGGUAUCUGAUCAUUUGGGGGUACGUAGGUAUAUAUAGGAGGAAGGAGUACGUCGAUGGAGCAACNNNNNNNNNNNNNNNNNNNNNNNNNNNNNNNNNNNNNNNNNNNNNNNNNNNNNNNNNNNNNNNNNNNNNNNNNNNNNNNNNNNNNNNNNNNNNNNNNNNNNNNNNNNNNNNNNNNNNNNNNNNNNNNNNNNNNNNNNNNNNNNNNNNNNNNNNNNNNNNNNNNNNNNNNNNNNNNNNNNNNNNNNNNNNNNNNNNNNNNNNNNNNNNNNNNNNNNNNNNNNNNNNNNNNNNNNNNNNNNNNNNNNNNNNNNNNNNNNNNNUCGUGGCCUCCUCUUUUGUGUCUUGACGUAGGGUCCAAGUCUCCCGGGUCUUGUUUGUUGAGAAAAUCACGUUCCCGGAGGUUUCAUUCCGUUUGGACUCUGUUUGGUAUUCCUUUUCUUUGAAACCCUAAAACAGGCAAAAAACAGCAAUUCUGGGCUGGGCCUCCGGUUAAUAGGUUAGUCCCAAAAAUAAUAUAAAAUGGAUAAUAAAGCCCAAUAAUGUCCAAAACAGUAGAUAAUAUAGCAUGGAGCAAUCAAAAAUUAUAGAUACGUUGGAGACGUAUCAAGUCCCAUCCGGACAUGGGUGCAGUCUUGGGUCUUCGUAUCAUCACAGCCCAUCAGUCCGACCCAUAGUUAACAAGUCGGACGCCCGAGGACCCCUUAGUCCAGGACUCCCUUAGUAGGCCCCGAACCAGUCUUUAAUGGCGAGGUGUUCGGUUCAUAGAUUGUCUUCGGCAUUGCAAGGCGGGUUCCUCCACCAAUGACCUCCAAGUAGUGUAUUUGGCCUUCCAUUCAAUGUCUAUACCCUUCGGCUUCUGUGUAUCAACAACUUCAGCUUCCACGUGUCGAGCGGAUGCGAGAGGUCAGGGCGUUUUUGCACAUAAUGCCCCGGCCGUGCGAGGGACAACGUCUAUUUAAUGAGACUAGAUCCUAGAUCCAUUCAACUAUCUCGCAGAGAAAAUCCCCAAAGGUUGCCAGGAAAGAACAUGUCUAGCGUUCCCAGCUCCUCCUCCCGUCCCUGCGGCCCAGAGAGAGGCGAGUGGGAGAGGUGCUCCGUAUCCCAUGGUCAGCUGGUGAAGCUGCAAAUGCAGGGGUUUCUCCCCCCUGCGGAUCUGGUCCCUGUUCGAGUAGGGUUGGCCUCUCUUGACGGCAAAACCCAGGCAAAGGAUUUCCCCAAUCCAUAUCCGGGGGAACGAGUGUGUUUUGUCCCCUAUUUGCUAAGGGGCGUAGUAUUUCCAAUUCAUCCAUUCCUCCGAGGACUUCUGGAAUAUUAUGGCCUCCAGCUGCAUAACUUUACUCCGGCCUCCAUCCUGCACAUUGCGGGUUAUGUCGCUUUAUGCGAACUAUUCCUGGGUUGUGAGGCCCAUUUUGAACUGUGGAGAAAGUUAUUCUGCCUUGUCCCGUGUAACCAUGAGGGAUCGAUAUUUGAAGUGGACGAAGCCGAAAUAUGGUGCAUUGCCGAGACCGGAUACCUAUCCGGCACGCCGAAGAAGGUAUCUGAAGAGUGGACUUCCGAGUGGUUCUACGUCGAGGACAUCAUACUCCCAGACCCAGCCCGGAGGGAUCUUUCUGAGUUCACAAGUGUCCCCUUGAAGAAACAUCACAGGUGGCGCCCUUAGAGCCUCGAGGAGGAAGAUAGUGCAGAGGUUCGCCAACUCUUGAGCAAGAUAAGGACGCUUGCCUAGUCCGGAUACACGAUGGUUGAAGUAAUGGCGACCUCCAUAGUGCGGGGGGUCCAGCCACUCCAAUAUAGAGGACUUCCCAUGUGGCACUAUAAUGGGGAAGAUGACACCUCCCGCUGCGGCAGGAAGGGUCCAAACACCCCUGCCGCCCUGGCCAAAAUAUUGGCCGAACUGUUCAAAGGGGAGGAAGAGGAGUUCCUGCGCAUCAAGCACAGGGAAGGAUAUUCCAUGUAUAGUCCUCCUAGCUGGGUAAGUUCCCAACUCCUCUGCUCUACUCAUUCUACUCCCUGAGCUAUGUUCAACGAACACUAACCCAUCCAUUUACAACAACACUGGCAAAAGAUUUCCGAGGGGCUUUACAGCCCUGCCCCGCAGCCCGAGGGCCACAAUCGGGACCUCGACCCUGGAUUCGAAGAGGAUCCGAAUAUAUUCGUGGUGCUUGCGAAUAGGGUGUUUUACCAAACGAGCUAUGAUGGCACAAAAGUGGCCAUCAUCGCCGAUUAUCCUGGUCUUCUCCCCGCUUCACACGUAAGUAGUCCGGAGAUAUUUCAUCCGAAAAAGUUUUCUCAUACUGCCUCACCCACUGCACUGUCCUGUGCUCAAAAGGGGAGGUGCUUGGCGCGUCAUGCUACCCCAGGGGCAUCUUCGAAGAGAGUGGCCCCACGCCGUGCAAGCCUUCAAAGAGGAAGGCAAACAAAGAUACGCCCGAGCCUUCAUCAAAGAGGUAUGGAUUUGCAAAUAUGCACCUUGGUAGUCACAUCCAACUGUGACCUUUAUGUUUAUCCUGUAUCAAGAAAAAAGUGUGCCGGACUAUAUCCGGGGGUCCGGCUGGUCAUACUUCCCACAGCCAGGAUCCAGAUCCUGCCGUAAAGAUGGGGGUUGAUGUGGGGGUAACGCCAGACUGUCCCCCGGCCGAGGAUUCGGAGGAUGUAUCCGUCACUAACUCGAAAGUGGAGAGCACCAUGAAUCAUCGACACCGCAGGGCCGUUUUACAAGACCCCAGCUUUUCAAAAGAAGCAUUUAACGCCUUCAGCUCGGCUGAUGCAUACAUCCGAGCUGCUCGAGAUGGGCUUAACAGAGCCACAAGGCAACAUUUAAAAGACGUGCGGGUAAGUUUACUUUGUCUGACUAUGAUAACCAUAUGCCAGUAGCCCCCGAUACUUAAAGCAAUUGGUACAACUGAUUUAAGUAUCGUUGUAUAACCAGGUUCUUACGGAGAAGAACGACCUGUUAGCCCAAGAGCUAGAAAAGUGCCAGACGCAGCUAUCUGCUGCCCGUGCCGAACUAGAGAAAUCCAAGAAGGCGUCUCCUGGUAAUGUUCCCCUCCAUCGAGAAAACAGAAUGGUAUACCAAUAAUGUUAAACACGAUUGCUCACCUCUUAUCAGGAUCACUAGGUCAACUGGAAGAACAACUGAAAGCUGCCCAAGACGGAGAAUGAGAAGCCAAGAAGCUGCUAGCCGCAGGUGAGCGUUUGCUCACAAAAGUCAUACUGGAGAAGAACAAGCACCAGGAUCCGAAUACCCGAUUGGGCGAGGAUCUGAAAGAUGUAGGGGCCCAACUGGCCGACUCUGUGAAGGAGAAUAAAAGGCUGCGCGGCGGCAUGUUCAGUAUGUGGCCGACUUUACUUUAUAAUAGUUCGGAGAUAUCAGGAACUGACAGAUUUAUAUCUGUAGGUAUGCUGACCGGCCAUCCCGAAGAUGAGAUGUCCGAAUUCUCAGGCGAUCUGCUACAAGAGCUGUCGCGUAUUCAUGAGCAAGCUCGGCAGGCGAUGCGAAGCGUUGCCAAAGCUUUGUGGCUAGCUGUCUCCCCUCUAGGAAAGAUGGAGGAGCUCCUAGAGCUAUUCAAGGGGGCGCGACAACGCUUUCGAUUGUGGAAAAUAUCGGCAUGCCGGGAAGGGGCUCGAGAAGCCUGGGCCAUGGUGAAGACACGGUACACCAAUCUUGACCUGAAUAAUAUGGCUCGGGUCAGACCUCUAGGGUCAGACGGGAAGGAAGUUCCCGUUAAUUUGGUGUAUGACCAAGUAGCAGUAGCUGCCAAAUAUUCCCAGCAGGAUUGUAAGUUAGAUAGCCUGUUGGAGGGUAUAGAGGAGGAAAUUUUUGAGUCGAAAUGACUGUGUAUUUUUCUGUCUAGCUAAAUUGUAAAACGAUUGUCAUGGCAGACCUUUUCGCUUUGCCCUCUGGACCCGAAGGCACAGAGUGUUUCCGAAUACUCGUGCGGCCGAAUAGACCGGGGUAUGCGUGGAAACCAGGCGUAGGGGUCAUAGUUGCUUGAACAGACAAGUUGUAUCCGGCUAGUUAUGUUAUAUUACAUUAUGUAAGAAACAUCUUCCAGAUAGAAUAGUUCCGUUAAGGGUUCCUUUCCCUGGGUGUGCAAGCGUUAGAGCGCAUGUACGAACUGUGAUUGAAAAAUCACAGUAUGUAUAUAUCUUCUGGGGGUUCGCAAAUGGAGCGAAUGCAAAAAAAAAACACCUUUAAUUCACCGACCGAAUAUUCCCUUAAGAACGCUAGCUUUCGGCUUCACCCAGUCUGAGCUACACAUCCGAAUGACCCAGCAGUAACAAUCACAGAGGUGCUCCCUUUAUGCCCUAGCCGAACUAACGGGAACGUAGGGCAUAAGCACAGGAGCCAGGUAACUGAUAACCCACAAGUAUAAGGGAUCGCAACAGUUUUCAAGGGUAGAGUACUCAACCCAAAUUUAUUGAUUCUACACAAGGGAGCCAAAGAAUAUUCUCAAGUAUUAGCAGCUGAGUUGUCAAUUCAACCACACCUGGAAACUUAAUAUCUGCAACGAAGUGUUUAGUAGCAAAGUAAUAUGAUAGCAGUGGUAACGAUAGCAAAAGUAACGGUAGCAAAAGUAAUGUUUUUGGUAUUUUGUAGUGAUGAUAACAAUAGCAACGGAAAAUUAAAUAAGCGAAGAACAAUAUAUGGAAAGCUCGUAGGCAAUGCAUCAGUGAUGGAGAAUUAUGCCGAAUGUGGUUCAUCAUGUAACAGUCAUAACCUAGGGUGACACAAAACUAGCUCCAAUUCAUCAAUGUAGUAGGCAUGUAUUCCGAAUAUAGUCAUUCAUGCUUGUGGAAAAGAACUUGCAUGGCAUCUUUUGUCCUACCCUCCCGUGGCAGCGGGGUCCUAGCGGAAACUAAGGGAUAUUAAGGCCUCCUUUUAAUAGAGUACCGGACCAAAGCAUUAACAAAUAGUGAAUACAUGAACUCCUCAAACUACGGUCAUCACCGGAAGUGGUCCCGUGCUGGAUCAUAACACAUAGUAGGUGACUAUACACUUGCAAGAUAGGAUCAAGAACUCUAAUAUAUUGAUGAAAACAUAAUAGGUUCAGAUCUGAAAUCAUGGCACUCGGGCCCUAGUGACAAGCAUUAAGCAUAGCAAAGUCAUAGCAACAUCAAUCUCAGAACAUAGUGGAUACUAGGGAUCAAACCCUAACAAAACUAACUCGAUUACAUGAUAAAUCUCAUCCAACUCAUCACUGUCCAGCAAGCCUACGAUGGAAUUACUCAUGCACGACGGUGAGCAUCAUGAAAUUGGUGAUGGAGGAUGGUUGAUGAUGAUGAUGGCGACAAAUUCCCCUCUCCGGAGCCCCGAACGGACUCCAGAUCAGCUCUCCCGAGAGAGUUUAGGGCUUGGCGGCGGCUCCAUAUCGUAAAACACGAUGAAUCUUUCUCCUUGAUUUUUUUUCUCUCUGAACAUGAAUAUAUAGAGUUGGAGUUGAGGUCGGAGGAGCUCCAGGGGGCCCACGAGGUAGGGGGCGCGCCCAGGGGGCGGGCGGGCGCCCCACCCUUGUGGCUAUGGUGUGGGCCCCCUGGUCUUGAUCUUUUGCCAGUAUUUUUUAUUAUUUCCAAAAAUAAUCUCCGUGAAGUUUCAGGUCAUUCUGAGAACUUUUGUUUCUGCACAUAAAUAACACCAUGGCAAUUCUGCUAAAAACAACGUCAGUCCGGGUUAGUUCCAUCCAAAUCAUGCAAGUUAGAGUCCAAAACAAGGGCAAAAGUGUUUGGAAAAGUAGAUACGGCGGAGACGUAUCAACUCCCCCAAGCUUAAACCUUUGCUUGUCCUCAAGAAAUUCAGUUGAUAAACUGAAAGUGAUAAAGAAAAACUUUUACAAACUCUGUUUGCUCUUGUUGUUGUAAAUAUGUAAAGCCAGCAUUCAAGUUUUCAGCAAAGAUUAUGAACUAACCAUAUUCACAAUAACUCUUAGGUCUCAUGUUUACUCAUAUCAAUGGCAUAAUCAACUAGCGAGCAAUAAUAAUAAAUCUCGGAUGACAACACUUUCUCAAAACAAUCAUAAUAUGACAUAACAAGAUGGUAUCUCGCUAGCCCUUUCUGAGACUGCAAAACAUAAAUGCAGAGCACCUUUAAAGAUCAAGGACUGACUAGACAUUGUAAUUCAUGGUAAAAGAGAUCCAGUCAAGUCAUACUCAAUGUAAACUAAUAGUAAUGAAUGCAAAUGACAGUGGUGCUCUCCAACUAGUGCUUUUUAAUAAGAGGGUGAUGACUCAACAUAAAAGUAAAUAGAUAGGCCCUUUGCAGAAGGAAGCAGGGAUUUGUAGAGGUGCCAGAGCUCGGUUUUGAAAUAGAGGUGAAUUAUAUUUUGAGAGGUAUACUUUCAUUGUCAACAUAACAACCAAGAGAUGGCGAUAUCUUCCAUGCUACACACAUUAUAGGCGGUUCCCAAACAGAAUGGUAAAUUUUAUACUCUGCCUCCACCAACACGCAUCAAUCCAUGGCUUGCUCGAAACAACGAGUGCCUCCAACUAACAAGAGUCCCAGGGGGAGUUUUGUUUGCAAUUAUUUUGAUUUGAUUUGCAUGAAGCAUGGGACUGGGCAUCCGGUGACCAGCCAUUUUCUCGUGAGUGAGCAGCGGAGUCCACUCCUCUUGAGAAUAACCCGCCUAACAUCGAAGAUACGAACAUCCCUAGUUGAUACAUGAGCUAUUCGAGCAUACAAAACAUAAUGUUUAUUUGAAGGUUUAGAGUUUGGCACAUACAAAUUUACUUGGAACGGCAGGUAGAUACCGUAUAUAGGUAGGUAUGGUGGACUCAUAUGGAAUAACUUUGGGGUUUAUGGGAUUGGAUGCACAAGCAGUAUUCUCGCUUAGUACAUGUGAAGGCUAGAAAAAGACUGGGAAGCUAUCAGCUAGAGAGUAACAAUAGUCAUGAACAUGCAUUAAAAUUAAUCAACACCGAAUGCAAGCAUGAGUAGGAUAUAAUCCACCAUGAACAUAAAUAUCGUGAAGGCUAUGUUGAUUUUGUUUCAACUACAUGCGUGAACAUUUGCCAAGUGAAGUCACUUAAAUCAUUCAGAGGAGGAUACCACCCUAUCAUACCACAUCACAACCAUUUUAAUAGCAUGUUGGCAUGCAAGGUAAACCAUUAUAAGCUCCUAGCUAAUUAAGCAUGGCAUAAGCAACUAUAAUCUCUAAUUGUCAUUGCAAACAUGUUAUUCAUAAUAGGCUGAAUCAGGAACGAUGAACUAAUCAUAUUUACAAAAAUAAGAGAGGUUGAGUUCAUACCAGCUUCUCCCAUCUCAACCAGUCCAUCAUAUAUCGUUAUAAUUGCCUUUCACUUGCACGACCCAAUGAUGUGAAUAAUAAUAGUGCGCGUGCAUUGGACUAAGUUGGAAUCUGCGAGCAUUCAAUAAAUAGGAGAAGACAAGGCAAUAUGCGCUCUUUUGUCAGAUCAACAAUAAUGCAUAUAAGAGCCACUUUAACAAUUUAAUCAUGGUAUUCUCCUAUCGACCCCCAAAGAAAAGAAAAGAAAUAAAACUAUUUACACGGGAAAGCUCCCAACAAGCAAAAAGAAGAACAGGAAAUCUUUUUGGGUUUUCUUUUUAAUUACUACUACAGGCAUAGGAAUUAAAGCUAGCUAAAAGCUACAACUAAUUUUUUUGGUUUUUCUUAAGGAUUAUCAAACACACAAGAAGAAAGAAUAAAAAGGAAAUAAACUAGUAUGGAUGAUACAAUGAAAAAGUAUGAGCACGGACAACUAGCAAUGAGUGUGUGAACAUGAAUGUAAUGUCGGUGAGAAAUACGUACUCCCCCAAGCUUAGGCUUUUGGCCUAAGUUGGUCUAAUGCCACGGAUGGCCUGGCGGAUAUCCAAGGUUGUAGUUGGGAUCGUACUGAGAUGCUGCAGUCAUUGCAUUGCGGGCUGCAGCUUGGAGGCGAGCUAUCUCAGCCCUCCUCUUAUACUCUUCUGCCUCCUCUCUGGUUAUAAAAUAUCUCCCCUUUUCCUGAAAAUCAAAGAAAGUAGAAGCAGGGAGAGCAACGUGAUAGGUGCGUCGUUUGACAAAGAUUAGUCGGUACUGGAGGAACUGAUCGUUCCUCUCAACAAACUGAUGACGAACCAUAGCCUCAUAAUCCAAAUAAGAGGAGGCAACUCAAUAUCAUCCUCACAUAUGGUUAUACCAAGAAAAUUAGCUAUGCGAAUUGCAUAAAUUCCACCAAGGAAAUCUCCAUUAAAUCUAUUAAGAUGCAACCUCGUGCAACAAUGGCUCCCAAACUAUGAGAUUUAUCUCGUAACACAACACUCCUAAGAAUACUGAGGUCAGGAACACACAUGUGACAUGCUUCAUCUUUACCAUUAAUGCAUCUACCUAUGAAGAGAGCAAAAUAAUGUAUAGCGGGAAAAUGAAUGCUCCCUAUGGUAGCUUGUGCUAUAUCUCUAGAUUCCCCCACAGUUAUACUAGCAAGAAAAUCUCUAAAUUCAGAUUCGUGAGGUUCACUAGUGUUGGGGAACGUAGCAGAAUUUUAAAAUUUUGUACGCACCACCAAGAUCAAUCUAUGGAGUCAUCUAGCAACGAGGGAGAGAGGAGUGCAUCUACAUACCCUUGUAGAUCGCGAGCGGAAGCGUUCAAGUGAACGGGGAUGAUGGAGUCGUACUUGCCGUGAUCCAAAUCACCGAUGACCAAGUGCCGAAGGGACAGCACCUCCGCGUUCAACACACGUACGGUUGGGAAGACGUCUCCUCCUUCUUGAUCCAGCAAGGGGAAAGGAGAGGUUGAUGAACAUCUAGCAGCACGACAGCGUGGUGGUGGAUGCAGCAGGAUCCCGGCAGGGCUUCGCCAAGCACAAGCGGGGAGGAGAGGUGUUACGGAGGGAGAGGGAGGCGCCAAGAGCAAGGUGCGGCUGCCCUCCCUCCCUUCCACUAUAUAUAGGGGCUGGGGGGGAGCAUGCCCCCUUGGAGAUCCCAUCUAAAAGGGGGGGGGUCCCUGAGGGCAACGACCCCCUUAGGGUUUCCAACCAGGGGGCCGCAUGCCCCCUCGGGGGGCAACGACCCCCUAGGGUUUCUAACCCUAGGCGCCUUGGGCCCUUGGGUGGGGCGCACCAGCCCAUCAGGGGCUGGUUCCCACGCCACUUCAUCCCAUGGGGCCCUCUGGGAUAGGUGGCCCAAUCCGGUGGAUCCCCGGGACCCUUCCGGUGGUCCCGGUACAAUACCGGUAACCCCCGAAACUGGACUUCCUAUAUAUAAAUCUUUACCUCCGGACCAUUCUGGAACUCCUCGUGACGUCCGGGAUCUCAUGCGGGACUCUGAACAACUUUCAGGUUACUGCAUACUAAUAUCUCUACAACCCUAGCAUCACUGAACCUUAAGUGUGUAGACCCUACGGGUUUGGGAGACACGCAGACAUGACUGAGACGCCUCUCCGGUCAAUAACCAACAGCGGGACCUGGAUACCCAUGUUGGCUCCCACAUGCUCCUCGAUGAUCUCAUCGGAUGAACCACGAUGUCGAGGACUUAAUCAAUCCCGUAUUCAAUUCCCUUUGUCAAUCGAUACGUUACUUGCCCGAGACUCGAUCGUCGGUAUCCCAAUACCUUGUUCAAUCUCAUUACCGGCAAGUCACUUUACUCGUACCAUAAUGCAUGAUACCGUGACCAACCCCUUGGUCACAUUGAGCUCAUUAUGAUGAUGCAUUAUCGAGUGGUCCCAGAGAUACCUCUCCGUCAUACGGAGUGACAAAUCCCAGUCUUGAUUCGUGCCAACCCAACAGACACUUUCGGAGAUACCUGUAAUGUACCUUUAUAGUCACCCAGUUACGUUGUGACGUUUGGCACACCCAAGGCACUCCUACGGUAUCCGGGAGUUGCACAAUCUCAUGGUCUAAGGAAAUGAUACUUGACAUUCAGAAAAGCUACAGCAAACGAACUACACGAUCUUUGAGCUAAGCUUGGGAUUGGGUCUUGUCCAUCACAUCAUUCUCCUAAUGAUGUGAUCCCAUUAUCAAUGACAUCCCCAUGUCCAUAGCCAGGAAACCAUGACUAUCUGUUGAUCAACGAGCUAGUCAACUAGAGGCUCACUAGGGACACAUUGUGGUCUAUGUAUUCACACAUGUAUUACGAUUUCCGGAUAAUACAAUUAUAGCAUGAAUAAUAGACAAUUAUCAUGAACAAGGAAAUAUAAUAAUCAUUUUAUUAUUGCCUCUAGGGCAUAUUUCCAACAGUCUCCCACUUGCACUAGAGUCAAUCAUCUAGUUACAUUGUGAUGAACCGAACACCCAUGGAAUUCUGGUGUUGAUCAUGUUUUGCUCUAGGGAGAGGUUUAGUCAAUGGAUCUGCUACAUUUAGGUCCGUAUGUACUUUACAAAUUUCUAUGUCUCCAUUUUGAACACUUUCACGAAUGGAGUUGAAGCGACGCUUGAUAUGCCUGGUCUUCUUGUGAAACCUGGGCUCCUUGGCAAGGGCAAUAGCUCCAGUGUUGUCAUAGAAGAGAGUCAUCGGCCCCGACGCAUUGGGUAUGACUCCUAGGUCGGUGAUGAACUCCUUCACCCAGAUUGCUUCUUGUGCUGCCUCCGAGGCUGCCAUGUAUUCUGCUUCACAUGUAGAUCCCGCCACGACGCUUUGCUUGCAACUGCACCAGCUUACUGCCCCACCAUUCAAAAUAUACACGUAUCCAGUUUGUGACUUAGAGUCAUCCAGAUCUGUGUCGAAGCUAGCGUCAAUGUAACCCUUUACGACGAGCUCUUCGCCACCUCCAUAAACGAGAAACAUACCCUUGGUCCUUUUUAGGUACUUCAGGAUGUUUUUGACCGCUGUCCAGUGUUCCUUGCCGGGAUUACUUUGGUACCUACCUACCAAACUUACGGCAAGGUUUACAUCAGGUCUAGUACACAGCAUGGCAUACAUAAUAGACCCUAUGGCUGAGGCAUAGGGGAUGACACUCAUCUCUUCUAUAUCUUCUGCCGUGGUCGGGCAUUGAGCCGUGCUCAAUCGCACACCUUGCAAUACGGCAAGAACCCCUUCUUGGACUGAUCCAUAUUGAACUUCUUCAAUAUCUUGUCAAGGUACGUACUUUGUGAAAGACCGAUGAGGCGUCUCGAUCUAUCUCUAUAGAUCUUGAUGCCUAAUAUAUAAGCAGCUUCUCCAAGGUCCUUCAUUGAAAAACACUUGUUUAAAUAGGCCUUUAUGCUUUCCAAGAAUUCUAUAUCAUUUCCCAUCAACAGUAUGUCAUCCACAUAUAAUAUGAGAAAUGCUACAGAGCUCCCACUCACUUUCUUGUAAACGCAGGCUUCUCCAUAAGUCUGCAUAAACCCAAACGCUUUGAUCAUCUCAUCAAAGCGAAUGUUCCAACUCCGAGAUGCUUGCACCAGCCCAUAGAUUGAGCGUUGGAGCUUGCACACCUUGUUAGCAUUCUUAGGAUCGACAAAACCUUCCGGCUGCAUCAUAUACAAUUCUUCCUUAAGAAAGCCGUUAAGGAAUGCCGUUUUGACGUCCAUUUGCCAUAUCUCAUAAUCACAUAAUGUGGCAAUUGCUAACAUGAUUCAGACGGACUUCAGCUUUGCUACGGGUGAGAAAUUGUCAUCGUAGUCAACCCCUUGAACUUGUCGAUAACCCUUAGCGACAAGUCGAGCCUUAUAGAUGGUCACAUUACCAUCCGCAUAUGUCUUCUUCUUAAAGAUCCAUUUAUUUUCUAUGGCUCGCCGAUCUUCGGGCAAGUCAGUCAAAGUCCAUACUUUGUUUUCAUACAUGGAUUCUAUCUUGGAUUUCAUGGCUUAUAGCCAUUUGUCAGAAUCUGGGCCCGCCAUCGCUUCUUCAUAGUUCGAAGGUUCACCGUUGUCUAACAACAUGAUUUCCAAGACAGGGUUGCCGUACCACUCUAGUGCGGAACGUGUCCUUGUGGACCUACGAAGUUCAGUAGGAGCUUGAUCCGAAGUAUCUUGAUCAUCAUCAUUAACUUCCUCUCUAAUCGGUGCAGGCACCACAGGAACAUUUUUCUGAGCUGCGCUACUCUUUGCUUCAAGAGGCAGUACUUCAUCAAGCUCUACUUUCCUCCCACUUACUUCUUUCGAGAGAAACUCCUUCUCUAGAAAGGAUCCAUUCUUGGCAACGAAGAUCUUGCCUUCGGAUCUGAGGUAGAAGGUAUACCCAAUGUUUUCCUUAGGGUAUCCUAUGAAGACGCAUUUUUUCGACUUGGGUUCGAGCUUUUCAGGUUGAAGUUUCUUGACAUAAGCAUCGCAUCCCCAAACUUUUAGAAACGACAGCUUAGGUUUCUUCCCAAACCAUAAUUCAUACGGAGUCGUCUCAACGGAUUUUGACGGAGCCCUAUUUAAAGUGAAUGCGGCAGUCUCUAAAGCAUAGCCCCAAAAUGAUAGCGGUAAAUCGGUAAGAGACAUCAUAGAUCGCACCAUAUCUAAUAGAGUGCGAUUACGACGUUCGGACACACCAUUACACUGAGGUGUUCCAGGCAGCGUGAGUUGUGAAACUAUUCCACAUUUUCUUAAGUGUGUGUCAAAUUCGUGACUCAAGUAUUCUCCCCCACGAUCUGAUCGCAAGAACUUGAUUUUCCUAUCACGUUGAUUCUCAACCUCACUCUGAAAUUCCUUGAACUUUUCAAAGGUCUCAGGCUUGUGUUUCAUUAAGUAGACAUACCCAUAUCUACUCAAGUCAUCAGUGAGGGUGAGAACAUAACAAUAGCCACCGCGAGCCUCAACACUCAUUGGACCGCACACAUCAGUAUGUAUGAUUUCCAAUAAGUUGGUUGCUCGCUCCAUUGUUCCUGAGAAUGGAGUCUUGGUCAUCUUACCCAUGAGGCAUGGUUCGCACGUGUCAAAUGAUUCGUAAUAAAGAGACUCUAAAAUUCCAUCUGCAUGGAGCUUCUUCAUGCGUUUGACACCUAUGUGACCGCGGCAGUGCCACAAGUAUGUGGGACUAUCAUUAUCAACCUUACAUCUUUUGGUAUUCACACUAUGAAUAUGUGUAACAUGACGCUCGAGAUUCAUUAAGAAUAAACCAUUCACCAUCGGAUCAUGACCAUAAAACAUAUCUCUCAUAUAAAUAGAACAACCAUUAUUCUCGGAUUUAAAUGAGUAGCCAUCUCAUAUUAAACGCGAUCCUAAUACAAUGUUCAUGCUCAAAGCUGGCACUAAAUAACAAUUAUUGAGGUUUAAAACUAAUCCCGUAGGUAAAUGUAGAGGUAGCGUGCCGACGGCGAUCACAUCGACCUUGGAACCAUUCCCGACGCGCAUCGUCACCUCGUCCUUCGCCAGUCUCCGUUUAUUACGCAGCUCCUGCUUUGAGUUACAAAUGUGAGAAACCGCACCGGUAUCAAAUACCCAGGAGCUACUACGAGUACUGGUAAGGUACACAUCAAUUACAUGUAUAUCACAUAUACCUUUCGUGAUGCCGGCCUUCUUGUCCGCUAAGUAUUUGGGGCAGUUCCGCUUCCAGUGAUCACUUCCCUUGCAAUAAAAACACUCAGUCUCGGGCUUGGGUCCAUUCUUUGGCUUCUUCCCGGCAGCUUGCUUACCGGGCGCGGCAACUCCCUUGCCGUCCUUCUUGAAGUUCUUCUUACCCUUGCCUUUCUUGAACUUAGUGGUUUUAUUCACCAUCAACACUUGAUGUUCCUUUUUGACUUCUACCUCUGCUGAUUUCAGCAUUGCAAAUACUUCAGGAAUGGUCUUUUCCAUCCCUUGCAUAUUGAAGUUCAUCACAAAGCUCUUGUAGCUCGGUGGAAGUGACUGAAGGAUUCUGUCAAUGACCGCGUCAUCCGGGAGAUUAACUCCCAGCUGAGUCAAGCGGUUAUGCAACCCAGACAUUUUGAGUAUGUGCUCACUGACAGAACUAUUUUCCUCCAUCUUACAGCUGAAGAACUUGUUGGAGACUUCAUAUAUCUCGACCCGGGCAUGAGCUUGAAAAACCAUUUUCAGCUCUUCGAACAUCUCAUAUGCUCCGUGUCUCUCAAAACGCUUUUGGAGCCCCGGUUCUAAGCUGUAAAGCAUGCCGCACUGAACGAGGGAGUAAUCAUCAGCACGUGUCUGCCAAGCGUUCAUAACGUCUUGGUUAUGUGGGACGGGUGCGUCACCUAGCGGUGCUUCUAGGACAUAAUCUUUCUUGGCAGCUAUGAGGAUGAUCCUCAGGUUCCAGACCCAGUCCGUAUAGUUGCUGCCAUCGUCUUUCAGCUUGGUUUUCUCUAGGAACGCGUUGAAGUUGAGGAUAACGUGGGCCAUUUGAUCUACAAGACAUAUUAUAAAGAUUUUAGACUAAGUUCAUGAUAAUUAAGUUCAUCUAAUCAAAUUAUUAAAUGAACUCCCACUCAGAUAGACAUCCCUCCAGUCAUCUAAGUAUAACAUGAUCCGAGUUAACUAGGCCGUGUCCGAUCAUCAUGUGAGACGGACUAGUCUACAUUGGUGAACAUCUUCAUGUUGAUCGUAUCUUCUAUACGACUCAUGCUCUACCUUUCGGUCUUCUGUGUUCCGAGGCCAUGUCUGUACAUGCCAGGCUCGUCAAGUCAACCUAAGUAUAUUGCGUGUGUAAAUCUGUCUUACACCCGUUGUAUUCGAACGUUAGAAUCUAUCACACCCGAUCAUCACGUGGUGCUUCAAAACAACAAACCUUCGCAACGGUGCACAGUUAGGGGGAACACUUUCUUGAAAUUAUUACGAGGGAUCAUCUUAUUUAAGCUACCGUCGUUCUAAGCAAAUAAGAUGUAAAACAUGAUAAACAUCACAUGCAAUCAAAAAGUGACAUGAUAUGGCCAAUAUCAUUUGCUCCUUUGAUCUCCAUCUUCGGGGCUCCAUGAUCAUCGUUGUCACCGGCAUGACACCAUGAUCUCCAUCAUCAUGAUCUCCAUCAUCGUGUCUUCUUGAAGUUGUCUCGUCAUCUAUUACUUCUACUACUAUGGCUAACGCUUUAGCAAUAAAGUAAAGUAAUUACAUGACGUUUAUGUUGACACGCAGGUCAUAAAUAAAUAAAGACAACUCCUAUGGCUCCUGCCGGUUGUCAUACUCAUCGACAUGCAAGUCGUGAUUCCUAUUACAAGAACAUGAUCAAUCUCAUACAUCACAUAUAUCAUUCAUCAUUCAUCACAACCUUUGGCCAUAUCACAUCACAAAACACUUACUGCAAAAACAAGUUAGACGUCCUCUAAUUGUUGUUGCAAGUUUUUACGUGGCUGCUAUAGGUUUCUAGCAAGAACGUUUCUUACCUACGCCAAAACCACAACGUGAAUUGCCAAUUUCUAUUUACCCUUCAUAAGGACCCUGUUCAUCGAAUCCGAUCCGACUAAAGUGGGAGAGACAGACACCCGCCAGCCACCUUAUGCAACUAGUGCAUGUCAGUCGGUGGAACCGGUCUCACGUAAGCGUACCUGUAAGGUUGGUCCGGGCCGCUUCAUCCCACGAUGCCGCCGAAUCAAGAUAAGACUAGUAACGGCAAGCAAAUUGACAAUAUCGACACCCACAACUACUUUGUGUUCUACUCGUGCAUAGUAACUAUGCAUAGACCUAGCUCAUGAUGCCACUGUUGGGGAACGUAGCAGAAUUUUAAAAUUUUCUACGCAUCACCAAGAUCAAUCUAUGGAGUCAUCUAGCAACGAGGGAGAGAGGAGUGCAUCUACAUACCCUUGUAGAUCGCGAGCGGAAGCGUUCAAGUGAACGGGGAUGAUGGAGCCGUACUCGCCGUGAUCCAAAUCAUCGAUGACCAAGUGCCGAACGGACAGCACCUCCGCGUUCAACACAUGUACGGUUGGGAAGACGUCUCCUCCUUCUUGAUCCAGCAAGGGGAAAGGAGAGGUUGAUGAAGAUCCAGCAGCACGACAGCGUGGUGGUGGAUGUAGCAGGAUCCCGGCAGGGCUUCGCCAAGCACAAGCGGGGAGGAGAGGUGUUACGGAGGGAGAGGGAGGCGCCAAGAGCAAGGUGCGGCUGCCCUCCCUCCCUUCCACUAUAUAUAGGGGCUAGGGGGGGGGCGCAUGCCCCCUUGGAGAUCCCAUCUAAAGGGGGUGGGGGCCUGGGGGCAACGGCCCCCUUAGGGUUUCCAACCAGGGGGGCGCAUGCCCCCUCGGGGGGCAACGGCCCCCUAGGGUUUCCAACCCUAGGCGCCUUGGGCCCUUGGGUGGGGCGCACCAGCCCAUCAGGGGCUGGUUCCCACGCCACUUCAGCCCAUGGGGCCCUCCGGGAUAGGUGGCCCCAUCCGGUGGACCCCCGGGACCCUUUCGGUGGUCCCGGUACAAUACCGGUAACCCCCGAAACCUUCCCGCUGGCCAAAACUGGACUUCCUAUAUAUAAACCUUACCUCCAGACCAUUCCGGAACUCCUCGUGAUGUCCGGGAUCUCAUCCGGGACUCCGAACAACUUUCGGGUUACUGCAUACUAAUAUCUCUACAACCCUAGCGUCACUGAACCUUAAGUGUGUAGACCCUACGGGUUCGGGAGACACGCAGACAUGACCGAGACGCCUCUCCGGUCAAUAACCAACAGCGGGAUCUGGAUACCCAUGUUGGCUCCCACAUGCUCCUCGAUGAUCUCAUCGGAUGAACCACGAUAUCGAGGACUUAAUCAAUCCCGUAUUCAAUUCCCUUUGUCAAUCGGUACGUUACUUGCCCGAGACUCGAUCGUCGGUAUCCCAAUAACUUGUUCAAUCUCGUUACCGCCAAGUCACUUUACUCGUACCGUAAUGCAUGAUCCCGUGACCAACCCAUUGGUCACAUUGAGCUCAUUAUGAUGAUGCAUUACCAAGUGGGCCCAGAGAUACCUCUCCGUCAUACGGAGUGACAAAUCCCAGUCUCGAUUCGUGCCAACCCAACAGACACUUUCGGAGAUACCUGUAAUGUACCUUUAUAGUCACCUAGUUAUGUUGUGACGUUUGGCACACCCAAGGCACUCCUACGGUAUCCGGGAGUUGCACAAUCUCAUGGUCUAAGGAAAUGAUACUUGACAUUCAGAAAAGCUACAGCAAACGAACUACACGAUCUUUGAGCUAAGCUUAGGAUUGGGUCUUGUCCAUCACAUCAUUCUCCUAAUGAUGUGAUCCCGUUAUCAAUGACAUCCCCAUGUCCAUAGCCAGGAAACCAUGACUAUUUGUUGAUCAACGAGCUAGUCAACUAGAGGCUCACUAGGGACACAUUGUGGUCUAUGUAUUCACACAUGUAUUACGAUUUCCAGAUAAUACAAUUAUAGCAUGAAUAAUAGACAAUUAUCAUGAACAAGGAAAUAUAAUAAUCAUUUUAUUAUUGCCUCUAGGGCAUAUUUCCAACAACUAGCACUACCCCAUUAUGGAAGUUUGCAAGCAGUUGUAAAGUACUCUAAGUCCAUAGUAUAAGAAUUUUCAUAAAGAUUAAACAUGACAGUUUGAGAAUUACGUGAAGAUGAAAAUUCAAACCUCCUCACAAAGGAACUAGUGAGAUAGUGGUACUGACGGCAUUUUUCUGCCUCGAAUCUCACAAGAUCAGCGUUGCACAAAUAUGCGUUAAAUUCCUCCUUAAUUCCUGCUCGAUCCAUGAAGUCCUCUGAAGGCCAUUCACAAGACCGCACAGGAGCGUCCCUUGGUGGCUCAUCAUCAACAUCACGCAUUGUAAGCCCGGGUCCUUGCUUCCUUGAAGAACCACCUUGGUACAUUUUCCUAAACAUAUUUCCUCCUCUGAAAAAUUUCUGAAAUUUUUUUAGUAACUUCAAAAUAAAAGUGAACCAUACUCAACAAAAUUGAUAGCAACUACUCCUACAAGUGCCUAGAGCCUAUAUCAUGCAUUAGAACUACUUGGAACCAUAUAAAUUUGACAUGAAAGCUCAAGAACAUGGUCACCUAGGCAACACAAAUUUGCAAUGAAUAAAGCACUAGAACAAAAACUAAUCAGACCAAUGGAGGAGUCACAUACCAAGGUACAAUCCCCCAAAGCAGUUUUGUGAGAGGUGCUUUGAGCAAGGAGAUCGAAUAUCGCAGCAAAAUGAGCUAGAACUCGUGCUUGAGCUAGAUAAUGGUGUUUGUGGGAGGAAGAAGGAGUGUGGUGGUGCAGGAAUAAGUGGAGGAGGGCCACCGUGGGCCCACGAGGCAGGGGCGCGCCAAGGGGGUAGGGCGCGCCCUCCACCCUCGUGGCCAGGUGGAUGCCCCCCUGCUGUGUUCUCAGUGCCAAAUAUUCUCAAAGAUUCCAGAAAAAACAUAUUUAAAUUUCAGGGCAUUUGGAGAACUUUUAUUUUUGGGGUAUUUUUAUAUUGCACGGAUAAUCAGAAAACAGACAUAAAUUACUAUUUUUGCUUUAUUUAAUAUAAAUAACAAAAAGUAGAAAGAGGGUACAGAGAGUUGUGUUUUCUAACUUCAUCCAUCUCAUGAUCAUCAAAAGGAAUCCAUUAACAAGGUUGAUCAAGUCUUGUUAACAAACUCAUUCCGAAUAACAUGGAACCAGAGAAUUUUCGAAUAACACUAGGUUACCUCAACGGGGAUAUGCACAUCCCCAACAAUAAGAAUAUCAUAUUUCUUCUUGACAGUAGGAAGAGGAAAUUCAAAACCUCCAAAAAUAAUCGAUGGAAUUUUUCCAAUAGAAUUGAUACUAUGGACUUGAGGUUGUUUCCUCGGAAAGUGUACCGUAUGCUCAUUACCAUUAACAUGAAAAGUGACAUUGCCUUUGGUGCAAUCAAUAAUAGCCUCUGCAGUAUUCAAAAAGGGUCUUCCAAGAAUAAUAGACAUACUAUCAUCCUCGGGAAUAUCAAGAAUAACAAAGUUCGUUAAAAUAGUAACGUUUGCAACCACAACACGCACAUCCUCACAAAUACCAACAGGUAUAGCAGUUGAUUUAUCAGCAAUUUUCAAAGAUAUUUCAGUAGGUGCCAACUUAUUCAAAUCAAGUCUAUGAUAUAAAGAGAGAGACAUAACACUAACACCGGCUCCAAGAUCACAUAAAGUAGUUUUAACAUAGUUUCUUUUAAAGGCGCAUGGUAUAGUGGGUACUCCUGGAUCUCCAAGUUUCUUUGGUAUUCCACCCUUAAAAGUAUAAUUAGCAAGCAUGGUGGAAAUUUCAGCUUCUGGUAUCUUUCUUUUAUUUGUAACAAUUUCUUUCAUAUACUUAGCAUAAGGAUUCAUUUUGAGCAUAUCAGUUAAUCGCAUACACAAAAAGAUAGGUCUAAUCAUUUCAGCAAAGCGCUCAAAAUCCUCAUCAUCCUUUUUCUUGGAUGGUUUGGGAGGAAAAGGCAUGGGUUUCUGAACCCAAGGAUCUCUCUCCUUACCGUGUUUCCUAGCAACAAAGUCUUUCUUAUCAUAACAUUGAUUCUUUGUUUGUGGGCUAUCAAGAUCAACAACAGGUUCAAUUUCUAUAUCAUUAUCAUUACUGGGUUGAGCAUCAACCUGAACAUUAUCAUUAACAUUAUCACUAGUUUCAUGUUCAUUACCAGAUUGUGUUUCAACAUCAGAAAUAGAAAUAUCAUUUGGAUUCUCAGGUGUUUCAGCAAUAGGUUCACUAGAAGCAUGCAAAGUCCUAUCAUUUUUAUUUUUCUUCUUUUUAGAAGGAUUAGGUGCAUCUAUAUUAUUUCUCUGAGAAUCUUGCUCAAUUCUCUUAGGGUGGCCUUCAGGAUGAAAAGGCUCCUGAGUCAUUUUACUAGUUCUAGUAGCCACUCUAAUAGCAUAGUCCUUAUCCUUACUAUUCAAUUCAUUGAGCAAAUCAUUUUGAGCCUUAAGUACUUCUUCUACUUGAGUGUUAACCAUAGAAGCAUGUUUACUAAUAAGUUUAAGCUCACCUUUGACAUUAGCCAUAUAAACACCCAAGUGUUCAAGCAUAUCAGCACUGCAUUUUAAUUCUCUACCAAAAUAAGCAUUGAAGUCUUCUUGCUUAACCAUAAAUUUAUCAAACUCAUCUAAGCAUGGGCUAGAAAACUUGGUGAAUGGAAUUUUAGCUUUAUCGUAUCUAUAGAGAGAAUUUACCUUUACUACCUGUGUCGGGUUAUCAAGACCAUGUGUUUCUUCAAUAGGUGAUGGAUUAAAACCAUAUAUUUCUUCAACAGGCGGUAAAUUAAGACCAUGUAUUUCUUCAAUAGGAGGUAAAUUCUUAACAUCUUCAGCUUUAAUACCCUUUUCUUUCAUGGAUUUCUUUGCCUCUUGCAUAUCUUCAGGAUUAAGAAAUAAAACACCCCUUUUCUUCGGAGUUGGUUUAGGAAUAGGCUCAGGGAGUGUCCAGUUAUUUUCAUUUGUCAACAUAUUAUUCAAUAGAAUUUCAGCUUCAUCCGGUGUUUUUUCCCUGAAAACAGAACCAGCACAACUAUACAGGUAAUCUCUGGAAGCAUCAGUUAGUCCAUUAUAAAAGAUAUCAAGUAUUUCAUUUUUCUUAAGAGGAUGAUCAGGCAAAGCAUUAAGUAAUUGGAGAAGCCUCCCCCAAGCUUGUGGGAGAAUCUCUUCUUCAAUUUGCAAAAAAUUAUAUAUAUAUCCCUUAAGGCAGCUUGUUUCUUAUGAGCAGGGAAAUAUUUAGCAGAGAAGUAAUAAAUCAUAUCCUGGGGACUACGCACACAACCAGUAUCAAGAGAAUUAAACCAUAUCUUAGCAUCACCCUUUAAUGAGAAUGGAAAUAUUUUAAGGAUAUAAAAGUAGCAAGUUCUCUCAUCAUUAGUGAACAGGGUAGCUGAGGGAGCCCUGGAUUAGGGGGUCUCCAGACAGCCGGACUAUCUCCAUUGGCCGGACAUUUAGACUAUGAAGAUACAAGAUUGAAGACUUCGUCUCAUGUCCAGGUGGGACUCUACUUGGCGUGGAAGGCAAGCUAGGCAAUACGGAUAUGAAUAUCUCCUCCUUUGUAACCGACCUUGUGUAACCCUAACCCUCUCCGGUGUCUAUAUAAACCGAAGGGUUUUAGUCCAUAGGACAACAACCAUAACAUACAAUCAUACCAUAGGUUAGCUUCUAGGGUUUAGCCUCUCUGAUCUCGUGGUAGAUCUACUCUUGUACUACCCAUAUCAUCAAUAUUAAUCAAGCAGGACAUAGGGUUUUACCUCCAUCAAGAGGGCCCGAACCUGGGUAAAACAUCGUGUCCCCUGCCUCCUGUUACCAUCCGGCCUAGACGCGCAGUUCGGGACCCCCUACCCGAGAUCCGCCGGUUUUGACACCAACAUUGGUGCUCUCAUUGAGAGUUCCUUUGUGUCGUCGCCGUUAGGCUUGAUGGCUCCUACUAUCAUCGAUAGCGAUGCGGUCCAGGGUGAGAAUUUUCUCCCCGGACGGAUCUUCGUAUUCGGCGGCUUUGCACUGCGGGCUAAUUCGCUUGGCCAUCUGGAGCAGAUUGAAAGCUACGCCCCUGGCCACCAGGUCAGAUUCGGAAGUUUGAACUACAGGACCGACAUCCACGGAGACUUGAUCUUCGACGGAUUUGAGCCACAGCCGGGCGUGCCGCACUGUCGCAAUGGGUAUGACCUAGCUCUGCCGCCGAACAGUACCCCAGAGGCUGCGCCCGCAUCAGCUCCGACCCUUAGCUCAGAGCCAACUGCGCCAGUUGAGGACGGGUGGUUAGACACCGCCUCAGGGGCUGCAGUCUCAACGGUGAUCGAGACGAACACCAGCCUAAACCUCUGCGCAGCCCGUGACUCCAAGGUGCCGGACUCUUUUCCGGACUCCGAACCAUCCGCGCCCCUGCCAAUCGAAUCCGAUUGGGCGCCGAUCAUGGAAUGCACCGCCGCGGAUAUCUUUCAGCACUCGCCCUUCGGCGACAUUCUGAAUUCACUAAGGUCUCUCUCUUUGUCAGGAGAGCCCUGGCCGGAUUAUGGCCAACAGGAUUGGGAUGCGGACAACGAAGAAUUUCGACGCCCACCCACCACCCACUUCGUAGCCACUUUCGAUGAUUUAACCCACAUGCUCGACUUCGACUCCGAAGACAUCGACGGUAUGGACGACGAUGUAGGAGACGGACAUGAACCAAGACCUAUAGGGCACUGGAUACACCCAAAGAAGGCAAUGGCGACGGGAUAGCGGAGGAUGACCCCUCCAAGAAGCAACCCAAACGCCGACGUCAGCGGUGCCGCUCUAAGUCCCGCCAACACAAAAGUAGUGAUACCGGCACAGGAGAUAAUAACACUCCGGAUAGUGCCGAAGAAAACAACAAACCCCUCCAGCAAGAUUUAGAGCAGGAGGAUGGAGGAGCCAGCUCUCCUGAGAGAGCGGCAGACGGAGAGGAGGAGCAUGACAAUCACAUGCACCCCUCCAAAGACGAGGCAAGCCUCGGCGACGAUGAAUUCGCAGUCCCAGAGGAUCCCGUCGAACAAGAGCGCUUCAAGCGCCGGCUUAUGGCCACGGCAAAUAGCCUGAAGAAAAAGCAGCAUCAAUGUCGGUGUCAAAACCGGCGGAUCUCGGGUAGGGGGUCCCGAACUGUGCGUCUAGGCCGGAUAGUAACAUGAGGCAAGGGACAUGAAGUUUUACCCAGGUUCGGGCCCUCUUGAUGGAGGUAAAACCCUACGUCUUGCUUGAUUAAUAUUGAUGAUAUGGGUAGUACAAGAGUAGAUCUACCACGAGAUCGGAGAGGCUAAACCCUAGAAGCUAGCCUAUGGUAUGAUUGUUGUUCUAUAUGUUGUCCUACGGACUAAAACCCUCCGGUUUAUAUAGACACUGGAGAGGGUUAGGGUUACACAAAGUCAGUUACAAUGGUAGGAGAUCUACAUAUCCGUAUUGCCAAGCUUGCCUUCCACGCCAAGGAAAGUCCCUUCCGGACACGGGACGAAGUCUUCAAUCUUGUAUCUUCAUAGUCCAGGAGUCCGGCUGAAGGUAUAGUCCGGCCAUUCGGACACCCCUAAUCCAGGACUCCCUCAGUAGCCCCUGAACCAGGCUUCAAUGACGACGAGUCCGGCGCGCAGAUUGUCUUCGGCAUUGCAAGGCAGGUUCCUCCUCCAAGUACUUCAUAGAAGAUUUUGAACACGAAGACAGUGUCCGGCUCUGCAAAAUAAGUUUCCACAUAUUGCCAUAGAGAGAAUAAUAUUUACACAAAUCUAAUCUGCUGACGUAUUCCGUAGUGUGACGCACCACGGCCAAGCCUUUAUUCGAAUCGUUUUAUUAUCCCACCUUAGCGCGUCAUGCGAGGCGGUUUCCUUGGCAUGUCUUGUUAAAGCAGAGAUCAUGUCCCCUUAUUCCGGGAUUCUCAUCAAUACGGGCGUGGGUAACCCAACCGUGCCAUUGAUUACGGCACUUGGAGAUAAGCGAGUUUUACCAGGCUGGUGGGGACACGUAGUUGCGUCCACCCAUAUAAGGGGAUAAGGAUUCACAUUUUCACCUAGGCCUUCUUCCUCCUUUGCCUAACCAUUUUCGUGCACUCGAGCUCCAGCGCCCAAGUCCGCACUCCCCACCUCAACCUUCUCCAGCCAUGUCCAGAGCGGGAGGCAAGUGGAUGGUCUCCUCCGUCACGGAGGGACACAUCAAAAAACUGAGGAAGGCCGGAUACUUGUCUAACGACAUCGUGUACCGGCUUCCCGAAGAGGGGCAGCUCCUCCCCACCCCAAGGCCCCAUGAGAGGGUAGUGUUCCUUCCCCACUUCCUCCGCGGACUGGGCUUUCCUAUCCACCCAUUCGUCCGGGGACUCAUGUUCUACUACGGCCUGGAUUUCCAUGAUCUGGCCCCGAAUUUCAUCCUCAACAUCUCGGCGUUUAUCAUUGUGUGCGAGGCUUUCCUCUGCAUCCUCCCCCAUUUCGGCCUAUGGCUCAAGACUUUUAAUGUCAAGCCGAAGGUGGUGCGCGGCAACCAGGCGGAGUGCGGAGGCGCCAUGGUGGGCAAGAUGCCCAACGUCUUAUGGCUCAAGGGCUCCUUUGUGGAGACCCUGAAGGGGUGGCAAUCGGGGUGGUUUUACAUCACCAAGCCGCGCGACCCUGAGUGGGUCGCAGCCCCCGAGUUCCGGUCCGGACCCCCAACGCGGCUCACGUCCUGGAAAGAGACGGGCCUGUCGUGCGGCAGCAAAGGAGAGGUGACUGGACUGCAAACAUGCAUCCAAACCCUGGUGGACAAGCAGCUCAAGCUUGUCAACGUAGUCCAGGUCAUGCUCAUCCGCCGGAUCCUCCCGUGUCAACAACGGGCCUUUAAUCUGUGGGAGUUCAACCCGACGCAGCACCGAACUCUGAGCAGGCUCUUCGACACGAUGUACGAAGAUGUCUGGAAGGUGCUUUUCAAGGGCGCCGAGGCUCCUGCAUCCGCUACUAAGGAUCGUGGAUUCAGCGUGCAGCAUCACGCCAGCGCGGUAAGUUGUUUGUGCCUUUUACAGGGUAUUAGUUUUUCAUAGUUUAACACUAUGCGGGAUCUAAGCUCCCUUACCUUUGACAGGUUUGGCAGGCGAAGUCCGGACAGAUCGACUGUCCGGCUCCUUUGCCCGAAGACCUAGCCGAUGCCCGCUUGGCGAAGUUGCUGGUUCCGGCACCCUAUGCGGUGCCGGAGAAGCAGGCCACGGGGACUCGAAAAAGUGCCCGGCGCCGGGAGGUGUCGGGUUCAUCAUCCGACGGCUCCAAGGCGCAUUCCUCCCAUGAAGACGAGGAGGAGGAAGAAGAGACCUCUCCCCCUCCAGCGGGGGAAGAGAACAAAAGGAAGGCCGCCCUCACUGGGAGGCCGAAGGGUCCAAGAAGGGGAAAACCCUUCCUCUGGACUACUCCACCGACGCCGACGACGGCGGAGAGGAGUGGCCGCUCAGGGCCAAGCCCCUGGUGAAAUCGUAAGUAUCCGGAUACCAGAGUAAUUCAUAGUAUUCCUUUAUUGCAUAGCUUUCCCUUAUGUCGAAUAUGUUUAUGCAGCCCACCCAAAGACCGGCUCGACGCGUUGUCGAGCGGUUCACUGGACUCGUCGGAUGUGAAUUCGCUUCCGACGGCUUCCUCCCCCCGCCCUACGAACGACGCCGAAGUGUUGUCCCAACAGGUUCCAAGCCAGGAGGAGGUGGUCCUGGAGGCGCCGCAAGGCGACCUCCCAGACUCCAGGAGUAAAGGGGAUAAAACCCCCCAGGGCUCCAAGUCCGGCUCUAGGCCGGACACCGCUCCGGAACCUUCAAAGGUUCCAGAGUCCGGCGGGCGACCUCCUUCCAAGAGGAGCAAGCCCACCAUGCCGGUGACCCCCGUCCAACCGGAGGCGCCGGACAAUCUGUUGGAGGUGCUCAAAGGCGCCUCCAUCGACGAGGAGCACCGCACCAUUAUGAGUGCGGUGGUCCAGAAGGUUCAGUCCGCCAAGAGCGGACUGACUGAAGCUUGUACUGGCCUUUUAACAGGCUUUGAGGUAAGUAAAGAAUGUGUAAAUAAUAUUACCACAUAGACAGUAGCCCCUGGUGCUCUGUUUGGCGUUCGGGAAGAAAAGCCAAAGAGAGGAUCAAAUAAGAUUCGCAGGAGUCUAACAAAAAGGAGUCAAUACGCGUAUGCAGGCUUCUCUGCUGGCGUCCGCCGCACUGAUUGCGGAAGUGGACACGCUAAAGCAGAACCUCGAGCAGUCCGAGCAAGAGCUCGGGCGUGCCAAGAAGCAGCUUGAGGACAAGGAAGGUAAGAAAUACCUUGUUUAAAUAUAUAUAAAAAAGGUGCAAUUGCAAAAAAUGACAGGAUUAUCGUGGCUAUUGUAGGGGCCACGUCGGAGGUGGCGGCCCUUAAGCAAGCGCUGGUCAAGGCCGAGAAGAGGGCGGCCACGGAGCGCACCGAGCGGGAGAAGUAUGAGGCCCAGGUUGGCAAGGUGCAGCAAGAGCUCCAGGCUCUCAUGAAAAAACAUGAGAGUUUGGAGCUUGACUCAAAGACGCGAGCAUCCGAGCUCGCGAUGGCUAUUGAAAAUGCCAAGUCUGCCAAGGCCGAAUCCCAGAAGACCCUCCAGGAGUUGGAUGCAGUGAAAAAGAUAGCGGCGGGUAAGGCAUUCUUUAUGCAAAGAAAACACAUAAGCGUUAGUUACUUGUUACUUACCCGAAUCAGGAGCUCUCCAGGAGCAUUCACAGAUCUUCCCCGUAGCGUGUCCGAUGCCGCCGCAUUCUAUCGAGCCGAGGAGGGCAGCUCGAUAGAGAAGGUGUUCUAGUCUCAGUAUGCUGAGGCCGGACACCCCGUGCCCCUGAGCGGCCAGCUGAAGCAACUAGUCGAGCUCCACAAGGCGGCCGAACAGGCCAUGAAGGGCCUCAUAGUUCGGCUGUGGCCUGGAGAGGCUCUGCUUGGGAGCUAUUUCGGGCUGGUGCGGCGACUGGUGGGGGCCUGUCCAAGGCUCGAAGUCAUCAAGCGCUCCAACUGCAUUGAAGGUGCCCAUAGGGCCCUUGCCCGUGCUAAGGUGCACUGGGGCAAGCUGGAUGCUGAGAAGCUUGUGAAGGACGGGCCACCGCCGGGGAAAGAACAUCGCAAGCUCGAGAAUUAUUAUACAGAUGUUCUGAAGGGUGCCCGCCUUGUGGCGGAUGAAUGUUCCAGGGAUGUAAUUUUUGAGUAAAACUCGCUCGUUUUGUCCUGUGCGCUGAAAACUUGUUCAUAUGCGCUAAGAAAAUUUCGGCGAAGCCCCUGGUAUUUGGAAGACUGAGUUCGGGGCGCUAUCCACGCCUUGGCCGGACAGAGCCGACUCCUCGCUCUAAGCGGCAUAAGUCUUUAGGGACUCGAAAAACCUCUCGAACAGCGACCAGCUCUCGCUUCAUCAUGACAGUCAGUUUUAGCUUUCUCUACUGAGGUGCUCGACCCAGCUCAACUGGGGCACAAUCGUCGUUGUUCUCCUAGUGCUACCUUAGCCGACACAGUGGAACGUAAGGCACCAAAACAUAGGAGCCAGGCAAACCCAACUAUUGACCCAAGACAUGAUUCGGAGCCGAUGCAUAUAAUGCUAUAAGUUCGGGGUGCCGCACUUGUUAAAGUGUUCGGACUUCUCACACCAUAUUGAGGGGUACUAAAGCCCCUGGCGUAUUUUGGCCGUACCAAAGUGUACGGGUGCAACAUGUCGUUAAGGAACAUAUAUUUGUAAAAAAAAGAGUAAUGCAAAAAUAGACAAAAGCUAUGCAUUGUUUAUUAAAAAGGGCUGCGAUCAAAGCAAAACGAUACAAAUAAUGCGAUAAGCAAAAGGUUGGACUAUUUAACAUGUCCGUUUCAGGGGCAGGCUGCGGAAUGGUAUGCGAAACAAGUAUACUGCUCGUGAUAGAGACCACCUGGGAGUUCCGUAAUGCGGCAUGGCUUGUCUGCUUCCCUGGUUCUUGCAUCAUUUGUGCGGCAAUUGAACUGCUGAACAGGCCUUCCGAAGAAUGGAGUCCUGAAAGUAAGAGAAAAUAAAAAAAUCGGCAGCUCCUGGUGCGGUUUAAGCCGUGUUUCGGGCGUGCCGUGAUGGUGCCCCUCCCCCUGUACCCAUGGUAUUUCUAGAGCGUGGUUAUGUACGCGAAGCACUGGCGUCGCAUUUUUGCAAGGGCUGGGGUUGGAGCCGCAUUGCUACGCCUGCUCGGAACGUGCCAGGCGGUCUUAUUGUAGGUUACUCCGGGCGCGCUUGACGGUGUCCGGACGUUUAAUGGCCGGACCGAAGAACUGCUUGGCGAGGCUGCUUUGUACUUCUGCUGCAAGGGCCGCUGUGUGCUCCUCCGUUCGGAGGGAGUGUUCGGUGUUUUUGUUGACCGUAAUUACUCCUCGAGGGCCUGGCAUCUUGAGCGUAAGGUAUGCGUAGUGCAGUACCGCAUUGAACUUGGCGAAUGCGGUUCGCCCGAGCAGUGCGUGAUAGCCACUACGGAAUGGGACUAUGUCGAAGAUUAACUCCUCGCUUCGGAAAUUAUCCGGAGAUCCGAAGACCACUUCAAGUGUGACUAAGCCUGUACAGUUGGCCUCUACGCCUGGUAUUACGCCUUUAAAGGUCAUUUUGGUGGGCUUAAUCCUCGAGGGAUCUAUGCCCAUUUUCCGCACUGUAUCCUGGUAAAGCAGGUUUAGGCUGCUGCCGCUGUCCAUAAGGACUCUAGUGAGAUGAAAUCCGUCAAUGAUUGGGUCUAGAACCAAUGCGGCGAAUCCGCCAUGACGAGUGCUAGUGGGAUGGUCCCUUCGAUCAAAGGUGAUCGGGCAGGAGGACCAUGGGUUGAACUUUGGGGCGACUGGCUCUACCGCGUAUACGUCCCUUAACGCACGCUUCCGCUCCCUCUUAGGGAUGUGGGUUGCGUAUAUCAUGUUCACUGUCCGCACUUGUGGGGGAAAACCCUUCUGUCCACUAUUGUUCGGUGGCCGGGGCUCUUCGUCGUCAUUGCUAUGCAGCUCCGUGUCUUUAUUUUCGGCAUUUAACUUGCCUGCCUGCUUGAACACCCAACAAUCCCUGUUGGUGUGAUUGGCCGGCUUUUCGGGGGUGCCAUGUAUCUGGCACAAGCGGUCGAGUAUUCGGUCCAAACUGGAUGGACCCCUAGGAUUUCUUUUGAAUGGCUUUUUCCGCUGACCGGAUUUAUAGCCUCUGAAUCCGGCAUUAACUGCCGUAUCCUCAGCAUUGUCGCCAUUAAUGCGGCGCUUCUGCUUGUUGCGACGCGACCUGCCACUACUGUCCCUGGUAUCCGAAUUACCAGGGUUCUUGGUCAUAUUGUUGCUACGAGCAAGCCAGCUGUCUUCUCCCGUGCAAAAGCGGGUCAUGAGUGUCGUGACUGCUGCCAUAGAUUUCGGCUUUUCCUGUCCAAGGUGCCGGGCAAGCCACUCGUCACGGAUAUUGUGCUUGAAGGCUGCUAGGGCCUCUGCGUCCGGACAGUCGACUAUUUGAUUUUUCUUUGUUAGGAACCAUGUCCAGAAUUGCCUGGCCGAUUCCUCUGGCUGCUGAAUUAUGUGGCUUAGGUCAUCGGUGUCGUGGUUUUGUCACGGCAGAUGUCCUAGAGAAAGGACUUAGUCGUGGAGCCAUCGCGAUGGGUUAGCUUGAAGGGGUUAAAGCGGACACAAGGGCGCAAGAGAGUUUAUACUAGUUCGGCCCCUUCAAUGAAGGUAAAAGCCUACGUCUAGUUGUGAUGGAAUUGAUGGGUGUUUCGAUGACUAGGGAGCAAACAAGCUUCGCCUAUGUCUCGAGUUGUUGUCUGUUGUCCUUGAACCGCCGCCGGGUCGUCCCCUUAUAUACAUGGGUGACGCCCAUCGGUUUACAGAGUCCCAACACCGGCUCAUAGAUGUGUCCGGUUUGGUCUCUAUUUAUUCCUAACUUACAAUACAAGUUACAUAUUCACGCCGGUUUACGGCUACAGGCUCUCAACCGAUUAUGGGUCUUGAGCCCUCAUCUAUCUUCAUGGGCUUUAACAUACUUAACUGCUGAUGAAGUUAACCCGACCCAGAUAGGCCGGUUUACGCCCAGUAGUAAUAUCCCCAACAUUAGGCCCCAGAUUGAUUUGAACAGGUUCAUGUCAAUCCUUAGCAAAAAUUUCAGCUUCAACAUCUUCUUGUAGUUUGGUGAACCGCCGUGAUGUCAUCUUCUCUGAUUGCUGUAAACCGACGUGACGUCAUCUGUCAUCAAGAAACUAUCCAUGAUACCUUUUAAUAGAUCUACGAUAAUCGAGGUGAUAACUCUGUUUCCAAACUUGUGGCCCCUUGAUUUUCGCGCCUGACCCAUGUCCUUGCUUUAUAAAUAGGACCGAAGGGUCAUUUCUUUUUCCCCUUCGUGCCCUUCUGCUUCUUCUUCCUCGCGUCGCCCAACUUCAGAGCUCCGCCGCCGCCGUCGACCUCUGCACCAGCUUUGGCCGCUGCAUCAACCUGAGCGUACCAGAGCAUCGCGGCGACCUUCCGCUCCUUCCUCAGCUCCGGUAAGUCUUCUAUCCUUUUCAUCAUAGAUCUGUUCUAGGGUUUCCAUGUUCUCUAGCGUUCGUCGCUUGUUUCUUGUUCAUAUGAUAGAUCCUUAGACGAGUCUAUGAAUCUUCGCUCUAUGUAGCAGUAGUUUUUAUCCUCCGUCUUCACUUUCGCAUAUUAAGACCAUAGAUCUUAUCCGUACCUUUGCUUAUUGAUUUGGCACUGCUCCUUUUGGGCCUUGAAUAUUUAUCUCCUUUAUAAACAUGUUCCAGAUCCAAAGCUGUAGUAUAAUCUUGUGAAAUCUGUUUUUGCGUACUUACUCAUCUGCAGUCUUGACUGUUCAAUGCUUAGAUCAGGCGGUUUAACUUUGUAGAAAAUUUUGACAAACCGGUAUAUACCAUUAGUCCCCUUGUUGAACCGCCAGAUGUUGGUUGCUUCAUGAAACUCCGGUUCAGAUAGUUCUAUCUCCGGUUUAACAGUGCUCAUACCAACGUACCUUGAUCAAAUGCAUUUUUGAACCGGGAUCUUCUACCUUGUAGAUUCCAUCAUGGCCAAGCAAGUGUAUGAGUGCAAUUGGGUCCCUUCUCGUGUCACAGAGGAUCAACUGGACGAUUUAGUCCUGAUUGGCGCCUUGGGCAGCAAAGAUACCAACCAUUGGAGGGCUCCUGGUAAAGAAUGCCCCCCACACCUCGAGAAGGAGAGGUUGUUGUUUUCGUAGAUCACCUAGCCCGGGGCUUUAAACCGCCCGGUUCUAAAUUUUACCGGGAUGUUUUAGCUGAUUUCCAACUCCAUCCGCAAGACACUGGCCCCAACUCUGUUACAAAUAUGUGCCACUUCCAAGUGCUCUGUGAGGUGUUUUUUCAAUUGGAGCCCACAGUGGAAUUAUUCAGAGAUCUUUUUCAUCUAAACCGCCGUACUGAGUUUACUGAUGGCUGCAAUACGGAGUUGGGUGGCAUGGAGAUUCAAAAAAGGAAAGAGGUCACAUACCCACACGCCAAGCUGCACAGUCACCCCAAGGAGUGGAAUCAGACAUGGUUCUACUGCAAAGACACCUCCCCUGCUGGUGAGAAUCCCUUGCCUGGCUUUCGUCCGGAGCGGCUCAGCAAUACACACUCUUUUCCUCAAAGAUUGACUGCCCAGGAGAGAAGCAAAUAUGCUCCCCAGCUGUCAAAGCUCAGAGCCUUUAUGGCCAACGGUUUGACAGGGGUUGAUCUCGCUCGCUGCUGGAUAUCAUUGUUGGGUUUCAUAGUAAUUUCAAAAAAUUUCCUACGCGCACGCAAGAUCAUGUGAUGCAUAGCAACGAGAGGGGAGAGUGUUGUCUACGUACCCACGCAGACCGACUGCGGAAGCGUUGACACGACGUAGAGGAAGUAGUCGUACGUCUUCACGAUCCAACCGAUCAAGCACCGAAACUACGGCACCUCCGAGUUCGAGCACACGUUCAGCUCGAUGACGAUUCCCGGACUCCGAUCCAGCAAAGUGUCGGGGAAGAGUUCCGUCAGCACGACGGCGUGGUGACGAUCUUGAUGUACUACAGCAGCAGGGCUUCGCCUAAACUCCGCUACAGUAUUAUCGAGGAAUAUGGUGGCUGGGGGCACCGCACACGGCUAAGGAAUAGAUCACGUGGAUCAACUUGUGUGUUCUAGGGUGCCUCUACCUCAUUAUAUAAAGGACUAGAGGGGGGAGGCUGGCCGGCCAAGGGAGGGUGCGCCAGGAGAGUCCUACUCCCUCUGGGAGUAGGAUUCCCCCCAAUCCUAGUUGGAAUAUGAUUCGCGGAGGGGGAAAAGAGAGAAAGGGGCCGGCCACCUCUCCUAGUCCUAAUAGGACUAGGGGAGGGGGAGGCGCACAGCCCAUGUAGGGCUGCCUCUUCUCUUUUCCACUAAGACCCAUUAUGGCCCAUUUAGCUCCCGGGGGGUUCCGGUAACCUUCCCGGUACUCCGGUAAAAUCCCGAUUUCACCCGGAACACUUCCGAUAUCCAAACAUAGGCUUCCAAUAUAUCAAUCUUUACGUCUCGACCAUUUCGAGACUCCUCGUCAUGUCCGUGAUCACAUCCUGGACUCCGAACAACCUUCGGUACAUCAAAAUGCAUAAACUCAUUAUAUAACUGUCAUCGUAACCUUAAGCGUGCGGACCCUACGGGUUUGAGAACAAUGUAGACAUGACCGAGACACGUCUCCGGUCAAUAACCAAUAGCGGGACCUGGAUGUCCAUAUUGGCUCCUACAUAUUCUACGAAGAUCUUUAUCGGUCAGACCGCAUAACAACAUACAUUGUUCCCUUUGUCAUCGGUAUGUUACUUGCCCGAGAUUCGAUCGUCGGUAUCCAAUACCUAGUUCAAUCUCGUUACCAGCAAGUCUCUUUACUCGUUCCGUAAUACAUCAUCUCACAACUAACAUAUUAGUUGUAAUGCUUGCAAGGCUUAUGUGAUGUGCAUUACCGAGAGGGCCCAGAGAUACCUCUCCGACAAUCGGAGUGACAAAACCUAAUCUCGAAAUACGCCAACCCAACAUGUACCUUUGGAGACACCUGUAGUACUCCUUUAUAAUCACCCAAUUACGUUGUGACGUUUGGUAGUACCCAAAGUGUUCCUCCGGUAAACGGGAGUUGCAUAAUCUCAUAGUUAUAGGAACAUGUAUAAGUCAUGAAGAAAAGCAAUAGCAACAUACUAAACGAUCGGGUGCUAAGCUAAUGGAAUGGGUCAUGUCAAUCAGAUCAUUCAACUAAUGAUGUGACCUCGUUAAUCAAAUAACAACUCUUUGUUCAUGGUUAGGAAACAUAACCAUCUUUGAUUAACGAGCUAGUCAAGUAGAGGCAUACUAGUGACACUCUGUUUGUCUAUGUAUUCACACAUGUAUUAUGUUUCCGGUUAAUACAAUUCUAGCAUGAAUAAUAAACAUUUAUCAUGAUAUAAGGAAAUAAAUAAUAACUUUAUUAUUGCCUCUAGGGCAUAUUUCCUUCAAUCAUGGAGCAUACUGCCCCUUAGUCAGCGCUCCGGUUUGAUGUGCGAGUAUACUGAUAGUGUUGAUGACCCACUGCGACACUCCAAACUCCAGCUCUCCGGUGAAGAAAUCACAGAGGCUGUGCGUAAAAUACUGAAUGAACCGGAACACGUCUGCGCUAGAACCGGCCUACUUCCCUUCUAUGCUACCAACAAACCGCCAGCUGUAAGACUUUGAUUUUUCUCUUUGCUGAAUCUGUUAUUGAUAUGUCUAGUCAUUGUUUUUAAUAUCAGUGUCUGCAUAAUCAGGGCAAUGAUCCGUUUUGGAGCAAAAAACUGCCGCAGGAGAAACCAGAGAAAACAGAUAAACCGGAAAGAGCAACCCGGCAAAAGACUAAGGCUGUGAAGAAGACUGCCCACCGGAAAAGAACCACUGCAUCUUCUAAUCCGGCCCCUGAUGAUGAGGUGGAUAAUCCGGAGUUUGAGGUAGAGCUUGACUCACUUGGUUUAUUUUUCAUGCAUCUUAUUGAUGAUGAUAUUUGUCAGGAUGAUGCCGAAGCCAGGCACGCGGAUGUUGCAGAGGUAAUUAUUCUCUCUUCCGAUUCAGAAACUUUGCCUUCACAAAAAAUCCAUCAGGCAAACCGGAAAGUUAAAUUUUCUCAUCCUCUUGCUUAUUUGGAUCCUAAACUUCUUAUGAAGACUCAACAACUCGAAGCUCGCCGCACCACUCGGCACAGCGGCCAGGUAGUUACCUCCGCCGGUUUACCGAAUAGUCCGGUUCAGAAACGUCAUUCCGAGGUCUCUAAUUCGCUUGUUAGUGCUUGUCCUAAAGCGGGCUGCUUUUGUCAACCUCUUAAUCCGUCUGACUCCGAUUACCAGGUUAUUUCCCACUCAUCUUCUGGCGAGUCAUCGGCCACUCAGCUCCCGCCGCUCAAAACGGUGCUUGGGUAAGCUAUAUUUAUUGUGAUGUUUGCAGUACAUUGACUUAGAACACAUGCUGCAUUUAAUUUGGUUAUUCUUCUCAGGGCCAAACCUAGGCCAAGCAAGAAGGCCCGCCUGGACAAAGCGGCCGAAGAAGAUGUCAUUCUUGAAGCGGCUAUCUCUGAGGAUAUUCCCAACAAUCCACCGCAGCCAGAUGAUGAUCUUAUUGCUGAAGAGAGGCCUGUUGAUACCUCAGGCCCUAUCCAACAGCCCACGGGUUCCAUCCGGAUUGAAAGCUCCACCGGUCUAGCAAAACCUACUGAGAAGCCAACAGCUCCAGUGCAAAUCGGCGGUACCAAGGAUGAUGAGGUUGUCAUUACUGGCACUGGACAUACUGAACCAAGCAAUCCUGUCGCUUUAUCCAAACAUUCUGCCAAGGAAGAAUUUGCUGCUUUUGGCAAAGGCACGUGGAACGCUGAUCUGACGGCUUACGCUGCUCUAAAUGCCCAAGAUAUCCAUUCCGGCUAUCUGAACCGGCUGUAUACCAGCCGUGACUACGAAGCCGGUCUGGAUAAUAUGAUGAAAGAUAAAUAUGAGGUAACUUCCAUAUGCUUCUUCCUGCCUGUAUGCUUUUAUUCUUGCUAACUCUCCUAGCCCCCAAGGGCCUGUUUGAACUAUUCUUUCAAACCGGGACUUAAUAAUAUAAAUCUUGAUGCUUUGAAAUUUGCUGAUGUAGCCCCCAAGGGCCGGUUCAACUUAUCGUAGUUAAACCGGUACUUUAAGUAAUUGAAACUGCCGCAUCAGAAUACAUAUGAUCAAAUAGCCAUUAGCCCCCAAGUGCUAAGUUGAAUGCUUGCAUUGAUCUUGGGACUUUGUAAACAAUUGAAAGAUGAAGAUCGAAUACGCAUUAGCCCUCAAGUGCUAAGCACAUAACUUGUUAUGUGGUUGGUACUGGAAUCCUUCUACCGAUUUGUUGAAACAUAUAUCUGUAUGCCUGCAGGCGGAGCUGAAGGCGAAAGAAAACCAAGUCAUCAAUCUGCAAGAAAACCUGAAAACCCAACAGGCUGAAACCUUCAAAGCAAAAGAGGAAUUGGCCAGUGCCUUAAGCGCCAUGGAACAACUUAAGGAGAACUUCAAGAAGAAAUGGGCGGAUUGGGCCACUGAAAAGUCCGCUUUGAUCAAACGAGCAGAGGAUGCCGAGGCUGCACUAAAACCAGUGACGGAUGAACUGACUAGCAUAAAGUGGCAAGUUCAUGCCAUGACCACUGCUAUCUUUGGUAAGCCAGCUUGCCUUCUAAAUUGGUUCUGCCUUCUUACAGAGUCGCCGGUUUAUUAACCCUUUAUGGUAUUUCAGGGACACGCAUUGGUCACUUGGGGUCAGAUGUGCGGAAGAAAUUGAAAGCCGCCUAUAACUUGGUUGAACAAUUGUAUAUUGGUGCCCAGCGCAUCAUCUGUACCGCGUCUCAUAACAAACCGGCGCCCAGUUUGAUUCAAGAUACUCUGAUGAAACUGUCAGUGCUUCCUGCCCGGGUUGAAGAGCUGAAGAAAUCUGCUGCUCGAACCGGUGCAAUCAAUGCUUUAAUCCGGGCAAAAGCCUGGGUGCCGGAUUUUGAUCCUAUUGAACCGGCUCAGGGUUAUCCCAGCUUGAAGGAAGACGGGUCAGAAUUUGGUGAAGCGGAUUUGCGAGCCAUAAACCGGGAGGUGCGUCCGCUAGCUUGUCAACUGACUGAGGAAGCAAAUUUGUCUCAUUAUCAAGCCCAAUAUGACAGCCAGAACAAGCGAAUAGCUGCACCAAUCCAUGAAUCGGAAAACCUGAUCCCUCCAAUCCAUAAGCAUACUUACGCUCCCAAUAUUGACCCGUCUUCGCUAAACCAUGACGAAGCUAUUUUUCAAGCAUUAAUGGGAAUCGACUGGACAACUGUGGAUUUCCAGCCACUGGGUAGAGAAACGGAAGCUAAAGCGGCGCAGGAUGACCCACAACCAUCAGGCCAGGCUGGUGGCCAAGCUUAAAUCGGAAGCCAGUUUUAAAACUGUCUCUCCUUUGUGAAAAACAAUUAUGUUAUUAUGGGCACCAUGUUGCUUUGUAAUAGGCUAGCUGAUACCUUUGAUGUUGAUAUGCCUUCGUGCAUAACUUGUUCUUCCUGUGGUAAUGAACUUCCCAAAAUACUUUCUGAAAUAAGAAAUUCGUUAAGUGCCACCGCGGUUGUACCGUCAGGCGGAAUAUGAUGUCUGUAUAUAUAAAGUCAAAACAUACAAAACAAAAUUUUAAGCAUAUGAUCAAAAAUUUUGAGAUACAUAAUACCUGCCACCGUUGAGUGUGAAGUUGGCCUGGCUAACCUUGAAGCGGAGUUUUGCAAACCCACACUGUUGGAGGAAAUAACAACUCAUGUAUAUGUAUAUGACGCUGGUUACCAUGUAAACCGUGCCGGGUUAUAAUAAACACCGUGUUACUCCAUAAGAGGAUGUUAACAACAAGGAUCAAACCGGACAAAUAGUCUCCGGAUUGACGUGAACUGUGUUCCGUCAAUUGAUUGGCUAAAACAUUUUGUCGGUUUAAAGAACACAAUAAAAAUAAAAAAAACCUUCAAAGAAAAGUAUGAAGCAAAAGCAAUGACAAAAACGUUUGCCAAAAAAGAUUUAUUUAAGCUGAUCAAAUGGCGUAACCAUGGCCAAACACGACCAAGCUCCCGUUAGGUGUAACUAUGGUUCUAGUUAGCCAGGUCCCGAAGUGAUUCUUGUGGCAUUUAUGCCAACCAAAUGGCGUGGUCAUGGUUCGGGUUCGACCAAGCCCCCAAGUGAUUUUGUGGCCUUAGGCCGAUCAAGAGGCAUGACUGGUUCAGACAUGACCAAGUCCCCAAGUGAUCUGGUAGCUUUCGCCUAUCAAGAGGCGUGGUAUUGGUUCGGACACGACCAAUCCUCCAAGUGAUAUAACAUGAUGCUUUUAGCAAAGCGAACUCAAGGGGUAAACCGGAGGCCACUUUAGAGCAACUCUGUGUAACCUCACAUGAUGUAAAAGAACUGAUACCCCGCUUUAGCUGAGGUUCUGGUUUAUUUAACCAUAAUACAUUGUCGUAAUAUGUACAUAAGUAUAGCCAAUGGCUCAGGUAUAGUAAGGCUGAAGAUGAGCUAUAUUCCAUGGCCUGUUAGUCUCCUCCUCUGAUGUACGUGAGUCCUUAUGCUCUCGAAUAUCAAUCAGAUAGUACGACCCGUUGUGCAGAUUCUUGCUGACCACGAAAGGCCCCUCCCAAGGUGGGGAUAGCUUAUGCAUAUCAGUCUGAUCUUGGAUGAGCCGAAGCACCAAAUCUCCUUCCUGAAAAGUUCUGGUUCUGACCCGGUGACUGUGAUAACGAUGAAGAUCCUGCUGGUAAAUCGCCGAUCGGGCGGCUGCGAUGUCACGCUCUUCAUCCAACCGGUCCAAAGCAUCUUGCCGUGCUGUCUCGUUGUCCGCUUCAAUAUAAGCCGUGACACGAGGUGAAUCAUGACGGAUAUCACUGGGGAGAACCGCCUCCGCUCCAUAAACCAUGAAGAACGGUGUGUAUCCUGUUGAUCUACUGGGUGUUGUAUUGAUGCUCCAUAAUAUAGAUGGUAAUUCUUCUACCCAACAACCCGGCGCUCUCUACAAAGGAACCAUGAGCCGGGGCUUGAUGCCUCUCAAGAUCUCUUGAUUAGCUCUUUCUGCUUGAUCGUUGGACUGUGGAUGUGCCACUGAUGAAACGUCGAGCCGGAUGUGCUCCCUUCGUAGAACUCCUUCAUAGCACCUUUGGACAAAUUGGUACCAUUAUCUGUGAUAAUACUGUGCGUAAAGCCAAACCGGAAAAUCACCUUUUUGAUGAACUGAACCGCCAUGGCCGCAUCACACUUGCUAACAGGUUCUGCCUCCACCCACUUUGUAAACUUGUCAACCGCCACCAGGAGGUGGGUCUUCUUAUCUUUGGACCUUUUGAAAGGCCCAACCAUAUCCAGCCCCCAAGUCGCAAACGGCCAAGUAAUUGGAAUCAUUCUCAAUUCUUGAGCCGGUACAUGAGCACGUCUCGAAAACCUUUGGCAACCAUCACAUCGUCUGACCAGAUCCUCCGCAUCAGCAUGAGCAGUUAACCAAUAGAAACCAUGGCGAAACGCUUUAGCCACCAGAGACUUUG